rnacentral:lncRNA from 1 species
UGUGUUCCUUUUUUGGAAUAUCACCUUGCUCGGAACCCAAGUAAUCGGGACUUGGCAAUUCCUCUGCUAUCUACUCAUGUUCCUUACAGUUGUUUACCUAAAUCUAUCAUUUCUUCUAGUUGCAAGAUUAUUUACAUUUGCAGGGACGCAAAGGAUGCUUUUGUUUCUUUGUGGUGCUUUGUUUCCGCGCAUCAAAUGUCGAAAAAUGUUGAACCUCUUCCUCUGGAAGAGGCCUUUGAGAUGUUCUGCAAUGGAAUUUCAAUCUUGGGACCAUAUUGGGACCAUGUUUUAGGGUAUUGGAGAGCAAGCUUAGAGUUCCCUGAGAAGAUAUUGUUCUUGACAUACGAGGAAAUUAAGAAAGACACCGCUGCUCAUGUUAAGAAACUAGCUGAGUUCAUGGGUUGUUCUUUCACCUUAGAGGAAGAGGAGGAAGGGGAGGUGCAAGAGAUAAUAAGCAUGUGUAGUUUUGAGAAGUUGAGCAACUUGGAGGUGAAUAAAAAUGGGAAGCACCGUCUAGACACAUCAAUUGCUAUUCAAAAUAGUUUAUACUUCAGGAAAGGUGAGAUAGGCGACUGGGCAAAUCACUUGACACCUGAAAUGGGAGCGCGUCUAGAUGACAUAAUGGAGCGGAAGCUCAAGGGUUCAGGCUUGAAGCUGCCCAGGUGACCGUGCCUGGGGUCCCAUUUGCUUAUGAUUAUUGCCGAAGUGGGUUCAUCAAAAGAUGUUAUCAGCAUGUCGUGAAACAGCAACGUGUAUCCCAAUAAAUACCCUCUCUGUUCAUAGCAAGUAUUCACAUUUUGUGAAUCUUCCAUGUGAAUAAGCAAUAUUCUUUUGUGAAUCUGUGUUUGUGACUUUCAUUGAUUUCCUUGCAUGUUUGUAAGAAUUCAAAAUGGGAUUCGUUUUUUUUUUUUUUAACACAAGUGCAUGCAUUCCAUUCAUCAGUUUGAUAAAAAAUAAAUUUACUCUAAUAUAUAAUAUUAGAGUGUUUUCUUCACAGAAAUUGCAGUGUGUUUUUCUUCACAGCUAUACAUGUUUGAAAAGAACCGAGACAGCCAUACAUGAGGGCGGAGCAAAGACCAACCGAGACAACCAUCCAUUAAGAUUGUUGAAUUGCAGAUCAAAUGAACGUAGGAGAACUCGUGUUUUCCACUCCUAAAAUAAGCCCAGUUGCCGGCUUCAUUUGCAACAGAGACACAUAAAGAAUCUGAAAGCAGUUUUUAUGCACUAUCAGCAAAAUAAUUUGACCAGUCAGAAUGAUGUUUUCCCCCUUACUAGGCUCAGAUCACAAUCCUUCUUACUUCAAACAAGUCUUUUGGAACCGAUAUGUCGAGGGAUGGCUUGAUUUAUACCGGAGAUUUUGAUGGAAACUUAAAGAAGCGUGGCUUAAUUAUACCUUGGAUGCGCAAAUUGAUUACAGGGAAAAAAUGACAGAAAGUGAGUUGCAGGGAAUGAAAAAGGCAUUAGUAAACUCAACACCUUUCAGGGCAUCGUUCCUUGGUUUACUCCCUUCUAUUUCUUAUUUUGUUUUUCCUGCCAUUGUCUAAUGUUUUUCUAACUCGCAGUCUGGUCUCUGCAGAGAAUGAGAAAGCAAAAACUCUUUAAGAGAAGAUAUUCUCCGGCGAUGGCAUCAACUAAGUGCGUGUUUGGCGCUCCGGCUAUGUUUACAGAAAAAACAUCGUGGUCAUGUUUUUGGUUACAGUCUAAACAUAAUUAUCUGUUUGUGGACCCGUUAUCAUUUGCUUUUAAACCGCAAGAUAACCAAAAACAACUUCAAGCUGCCUUCUGUGUUGAGUUGCAAACUUUAUAAACAAAGGCCACAAGAAAAAGAGCAGAAACAUAGCAGUGAAUAAUGAACAGUGGAGAGCAGCUCCCUCUGACCACCGGCAUCCGCCGUUUUCACCGCCAACCACUGCUCAUCCUCUUCCCCUUCUCUUUCUCCUUCUUCUUUGUCUUCUGCAUUGUCCACUGUUCACGUUGCAUGUGAACAGUGGAGAGCAGCUCACCACCGGCCUCCGCUGUUUCUACCGCCAGUCACUGCUCUUCCUCUUCCCCUUCCCCUUCCCCUUCUUCUUCUACAUUCUCCACUGUUCACGUGAACAGUGGAGAGCGUCUCCACUAUUCAUGGCCGGAUUGGGUCUGGCCCAAACCUAAAUGCAUUGGACCGGGUCCAACCUAAAUGCAUUGGACCGGGUCCAAUCAAGUAAAAUAAAAAAAUCUAAAAAUAUUUCUUAGAUAUUGUGUUUUAUUUGAAAAACUAGUGUUUAAAAUUAUUCAAUGACACUACAUAAUUAUAUUAGAAGGAGAUCGCAUGAUGACGUAGCAUUUGCAGAAUUUGAUUGCAAUCCCAAUUUUAUUCCUAAUGAUAUUUUACCUGAUGUGAUGAUAUUUUACCUGAUGUUGGUGCACGUUCAAGAAGCCAUGAAAACUGUAGUUUUUGUCGGAUGGAUUUCGUACGUGAUUGAAUUGCAAAUAAUUUAAUGAAACAAUAAAAAAUACUUUAUAUAAAGUAUUAUUUAUUUCAUGAUGUAAUAGCAGUAGUUAAAUCUAUAAUAUUCCAAUUAAAAACCAUCAAUAUUAAUAUAUAUAUGUUUUUUUUAAUUAUUUUAUAACCUCAAUUUGAAAAACAUUCUUUAAACCAAACACAUUAAACUACUUUUUGUUCAACCUCAAUUUCAACCACAAUUUUAACCAAAUAUAUAUUUUUUCAAAUCAACCUCAACUAAAAAUACUUUGUAUAAAACAACUUUUUUAAACUACAAUCAUAACAGGUAUCACAAUACCAAAGACACACAAAGCUGUACUGAUAAGCAAGUUAAAGUGCCACCAUUGAUUUAGGAUCUGCUUUAUAUCUUAUAAGGUGAAAGUAAAACACAAGGAAAUGCAUGCAUGCACACCACUAAUCUUUGAUUCUGGCGAGAACAGUGAUGACUACACACACAACCAUAUAGAAUUACAUUCCAAGAUGAAGAAAUUAAUAACAGAGCAGUGCUAUAAAGCUAAAUGGGAGAACCAGAGAUUAAUAAGCAAUGCUGAAAAUUUUAUCAUGCAUAAGAUGAGAGAAGCAUAGGACAUAUUUUAUCAAAUCUAUAGUUUUUCUUUAAUAAUAAUAAUAUUUUUAAAAAAUUUAAUAAUAAUAAUAAUAAUAAUAAAAACUCAUGUUCUUUGAUUCUGACUUCCCUUACCAGACUGAAGUUACCACAGUCAGACCCAAGUAACUUAGGUGUGACGCUCCUGUUAGACUCAAGUUAUUUGGGUAUGAUAUCUCAUGCUGGACUCAUAGUAUUCAAGAUCAAAGGUGUUGAUAUCUAACAAUCAUACCUCACCCAAGCCCUAAGAUGUGAUUGCUUUUCUAGACCAGAGCGCAAGGCACCAAGACACUAAGAUACUAUUCACCAUAAGUCAAGUCAAUGAACCAAUUAAUUGAUUUUAAAGAUCAAGUUUUUUUUUUAAAUAGAGAAACAAAACUUUUAUUAACAUUGAAAUAACUCCUAAAAUUUUAAUAAAAUUAAUUUGAAGUAAAAAUAAUAUUAGAAAAAUAUUUAGAAGCACUUUUUUAUUGUAAAAUCAAACACACUAAAAUCAUGUAGAUUUUCAUUUAGACACUAAAAUUCAAGAAGAAAUUAAGUUCACACAGUACUAUUAAUUCAAUCGAUGAAGGAUUAGUCCCAACUACUUUAGGGCCACCAUUGACAUUGAUUACUUUGAAUAAUUUUAAUUUAUAGGCAUAAAAAAUUAAUACAUAUCUUUAAGAGGAUCAAUUUUAGAUUCUCUCUCUCUCUCUCUCUAUUUUUUUUUUGGUUUUCAAAUAUUUGACAUUUUCGUUUAGAUAAGCUCUAGUGUGUGUUUUUUUUAGAUUAUUUUAAAUCAUGUUUCUUGAAAUGUCAAAAACAUUUCAUGGAUUAAUUUAACUUAAUAACGCCAAAGAAUUAGGAAUUAAAACUGAUAAUUUCCACCAAGUAAGAGUACCUAAUUGAAAAUUUACUUUCUUAUCAUUUACCUCAAUUAAGCGGAAGCAUGAUCAUGAGAAGGGAUUUGGGAGGCACUUAGAUUAGGCUCUUCUCUAGUCUUGAGAAGCAGAACCAAUAGAGACGUGAUUGCGCACUCCCUGAGCUAUAUAGUAAGUGGCUGCAAACAAAUUGUCAGCACCAAUUCAGGUCCGGAAAAUUAAAGCAUUGAAGCAUAAAAGGUGACCUAACCUGAUUAAGCAAAUUACUACUUAUUCCAGCAUCACCUAGGAGUGAGACAGCCAGCCCUCCAGUGUCUACAUGGUAUGGGAAUAAUUCCUUCAAGAACGCAGAGAAAAUUAUACUUGCAAUACAACUAUAAACGAGAUGGUACAGUGCGGAAGGCUAUAAACGAGAUGGUACAGUGUGGAAGGCAAGAUGUUAAAUAUGAUCAGGACAAAAAAAUAAAUAAAGAAAGAAAGAGUGUUUAUUUCACAAUGAUCGAUAUGAUGCUUCUUUCCAUGUGGAAUCUUCGUCAAAGACUUGUUGAAAAUGCCAAAUUGUGAUCCACUUUUGGCUGUGUCAAAUGCAUGGGUGGGGUUUCACACAGAGCUAUUACCCCUUGUGUAAACUCAACGCCAGUUUUCAUGAGUUCUUUGGGAUUCUAACAUAGUAAAAAAAAAUGAUAAAAUAACGAAGUGUAAAGAAUAUGUAGUGAAAUAGAUAUUUGUAAUUAAUCAGUUGCAAUUAUUAUAUGCUCGCUCUCUCAGAUUUACUGGACAGAAGAUUUAUUAAAAAGAGAUGAGAAAAUAAUUAAAAGAGAAAGAAAAGAAAAAAAAAACUUCAAGGUAUAUCAAAACUCUGAUAAUAAUAUUAUUGGUAUUGUUGAAACAAAUCUAAAAAUAUCAAUAAAGAUCACCAAUAAUGAUCAUAGUAGGUCAUACGAGUGACCGAGAUAAAUGAGUCUCAAUACUUUUAAACAGCUCGUAUAAUCUAUUUUAUUUAUUAUUUAUUUUUUUUUAUGUUGUUAAAUUCAUCUUAUAAUGAUGCCGAUAAUGUUAUCAUUAUAAUUUCAAUGUAUUUCUAUUAUUAUUAUUUUUUGUUUUGCUCUCUCUCCUCUCUUUCCUUAUAAUUUAUGAAGAGUUAGAGAGGGGAAAAAAAAACCCUAGUCUUCCACUUUAAUCUGGCUGAAUACUAUAUUUUUCCUUAAUUAUUCACUACUUUGUCAAUGCAAACUAUAUUUUUCCUUAAAUAAGAUCUAAUCCACCAGCGGAUAGGUGAUCAAGAAUAUUAAAUUAGUGUAAAACUUGAUUUAAUUCAACAUUAUAAAUUCGAGGUGCUAUAAUAAUGUGAAAAAAAAGAAUAAAAAAACUAGAUUCAUCAUCAUCAUUAUUAUAUUAGUAUAAUAAUGUUUGUCACUUUGUUGUAUUAUUUUUUAAUUGUUUAGUUGUUUACUAUAUGUUAAAAUUUCAAGAUCUUCAAAGAUUGGUAAGAUCUUAAGGAUCUAGAGUUACUAUGGGACCGUCUUUAUUUUCCUAUUUGGAUUUUUUUUAUUUAUAUUAAGAAUUUAAAUUUAAUUAGUAUUUUAUUAUUUAAAAAUUCUAACGGUAAAUUGAUUCUAUUAGUCAGGCUAAUUUUAAGUAUAAAUUAUUUUUUUAUACAAAAUUUUAAAUUUAGAAUUAAUAUAAAUAAAAAUGUUUAGUUUAUUUUUUAAAGUGUUUUUGUUUAAAAAUACAUCAAAAUAAUAUAUUUUUAAAUUUUUUUUAUUAUUCAUCUUUUACAUCAAAACAUUUAAAAAACAUAAAAAAAAACAAUUAGAAAACGCAAGAUUGCAUCAAUGCUAAAUGCAAUCUCUCUCUCUCUCUCUCUCUCUCUCUCUCUCUCACACACACACACACACACACACACACACACACACACACGAUCCACCUCUGGUGUCAAAUGCAUAGUGAUGUUCCACAGCGAGCCACUAUCUAUUAUGUAAAAUCUCAACAAGUGAGAAAUGUCAUAGAUCAUUUGGUCUAAUUUACGGGGACAGAGUUGUGGAGUUGGGGGCUGUAAAUAUUCCUCAAAAGAUCGAGUCUUAAGGUCUCGGAACUAUUAUAUGACGGGGGAUAAAAAAACAAAUACUACGAGGGUCGAAAUAAAUAUUUUUUACUGGUUGAUGGUAUCCACAAAUGCUACGAGCAAUAAUAAAAUUUUUUGGAUUGAAUAAUCAGUUAAUUAAUUAGUUUUAAUAAUUUUUUUUAUUUUUCUUAACUAAAGUGGUUAAAAGCGCUUAUAUUUAUCAUUGAUAGGUCAAAGCUACUCGUUAAUACAUUUAAAAGAUUUUUUUUGAUGGAGGUAAAGACUUUCCGAUAUUUAAAUAAAUAAUUUUUUAGAAAGAAAAAAUAAAUGAAUAUUCUAUAGAGAGAUACUCUGAAAAUACAAAUGCACAAGAGAAUUGGAGAUUGUGAACCUUUGUUCUGAAGAUUUUAUGAUGUAUUUAUAACUUAUAAGUUUUGUCCUUUUGUGAAAAUAAGGGUUUGGAGUGUAAUUACCCUGAUAACAUUUAAUGAGGAAUAAAUAUCCCUUGCAUAAUGGGAAUAUGGUGGGUCCUCGAAUGGUUUUUAUACACCUAAAAAGCUAUAGGGAGAUUAGAGUUUAAGACGUCAAGUGUAGCUGAGCCUAUAGAGAUCAAGUUCUUUCCUGAGAUUAGAUCGAAGAGAGGUUGGUCAUUCUCCUAGAUAUGCCAAUGGAGAAUGAUCAAUAUUUUGGACUUGGUUGGCUGCAAAAUCCAAGUACCUUGAGCCUGAUAUGCGUGUCAAAUCCACCCUAUCUUGAAAUUGGAGCACUACCAAGUCCUAGCGCCUUGGAUCUGACAUGCAUGCCAGAUCCAUGCUACGUUGGACUUGGUGCACUAUCAAGUCCAAACACCUUGGGUCUAGUGUGCGUGUUAGACCCACAUUAUAUUGGGUUUGACGCAUUACUAUACAUGUCCAAGCACCUUGAACUUGAUUGAUUGUCAAGUCCAUGCAUUAUAGAUUUGAUAUAUGUGUCAGAUCCAUAUUACCUUAAGCUUGACGCACUAUUAAGUUAAAGUGUCUUGAAUUUAGAAUUUCUCAGGAUCCAUAAAUUUUAAAGAACCAAACAAAAACUAAAUAAAAAAUUGACUCAUCACUAAUCUAUAAAUACUAUCUACAUAAUGGCCUUAGUUGAUAACUUCUACCACCCACUGCACUUACUUCAAUAAUGAAAAAUAUUUUUUCCUUUUAAUGGAAAAGACAUUUUAACUCCAUCUUCAAUUACUUUACAUAAAUGUUUCCUUCUUUUUUAGAUAUUGGGUUUAGAAAACACAAUCAUGCUAAAAAUUUAUUAUCAACUAUAAAAUGUAUUUUUUUUAUAUUUUAUAUAUAUUUUUUAAUUAUUUUUUAUAUUUUCAUAUUGUUUUGAUGUGCUAAUAUUAAAAUUAAAUUUUUAAAAAUAAAAAAUAUUAUUUUAAUAUAUUUUUAAAUUAAAAAUAUUUUAAAAAAUAACCGCUAACACAAUAACAAACAAGAUUUAAAUAAAAAAAAUUAUAAUUACAUCAGCAAUCAAGAAUACUAAAAUAGUGUAAAUUUUGACUUAAUUCAAUUAUGAGAAUUGGGGGCAGCGUAACAAUUUGAAAUAAAAUGGCAGAAAAGGAGGGCAAACAGUACAAAUACCUUGAAUAAUGGUGACCAAAUAUUUGUAAUUUGAGACAUCUCGUUCUCGCAAGGAAAUAGUUAAGAGUGCCAAUAAUUAAUCUGCUCUCAACUUGCUUCAAAUAGCUGCCAUGUCCACAUAUUCAAGAAACAAAUAUUUCCACUAAAGGUUUAUAUGGUCGUUAAUUUCAGGAUCUGUGGGAUUAGUCGAGCUGCGCGCAAGCUAACCCGAACACCCACAUUAAACUAAAAAAAAAAAUAUUUUUUACUAGUCUAGAAAUGCUAUCUCCUAAAUUGUUUAUUGUUCUAUGAUUCAACCAUCCUGUUUUUUAUAAAAAUAUUGAUUUUUUCAUAAAUUUUUUUAGUAUUUUUAAAUUAUUUUAAUGUAUAAAUAUAAAAAUAAUUUUUAAAAACUUUAUUUUAAUAUAUAUAUUUUAAAAAUUUCUUUAAAAAAUAAUUAUCACCGCAUUUCCAAACUUCACAUCCCUGUAUUAAUGGAUUGUGUUGUCCCUGUAUUAAUGGAUUGUGUUGUGGGCUCCACGCCAUUUAAAGCUUGUGAGAGAAACUACACCUAUAAACUGAAACCACACGAUAACACUAAAGAUUUGCUAAUUCGGGAGUGUUUGUUUUUAUAUAUAAAAGUAUUUUUAAAAAAAGUUAAUUUUUUAAAAUUAAUUUUUUAAUAGUUUUAUAUUAUUUUAAUGUAUUAAUAUUAAAAAUAAUUUUUAAAAUAUAAAUUUUUUAUUUAAUAUAUUUUUUUUAAAAUAUAAAAAUACUCUUGAAAACAGCGGUUAUAAAAUACUCUUAAAAAAUAAAUAAAAAUACUCUUGAAAACAGCGGCUAUAACCUUCCCAAACUUCACAUCCCCAAAUUAUUAAGAGGCCGUUUGUUUGCGUGGUUGCUUCUGCGUUUGAAGCAACCACAGCAAACAUAAUGUUUGGUAAUAUUAAAAAUGCUAAAAAUGACCGGUGGGACCCAUGCCAAUUCACGUUUUGAACGCGACAUUGGUGAAGCAGCUCGUGACUGCUUUUUUAAAUUUUGUAUUUGCGUGCACAGUGCAAUUCACUUGCACUGUGCACGCCAACAGUGUAAUUCACUUGCAUUGUUCGGGUGAUUUUUUUUAUUUUUUUAUUUAGUGUGUAUAGUUUUUUUAUAUAUAUUUUUUAAAAAAACUAGUUUUACAUUGUCAUGUAAACAAUAUUUUUUUUCCCGAAAAACUAGUAUAGAGCGAAUUAAAUUCACUCGCACUGUAAUAUCAAAUUAAUUUUAUUCCUAAUAAUAUUUUAUCUAAUUUUAUUGCAUGCUCAAAAAAUUAUAGAAACUGUAGUUCUUGUCGAAUGAAUUUUGUACGUAAUGGAAUUGUAGAUGGUUUAAUGGCAUAAUAAAAAAUAUUUUAUAUAAAGUAUUAUUUAUUUCAUGAAGUAAUAGUAAUAGUUAAAUCUACAAUAUUUAAAUUAAAAAUCAUCAAUUUUAAUAUAUAUUUUUUAAAAUUAUUUUAUAACUUUAAUUUCAAAAGCAUUCUUAACCAAACAUAUUAAACUACUUUUUAUUUAACCUCAAUUUCAACCACAAUUUUAACCAAACACCUAUUUUUUCAAACCAACCUCAAUUAAAAGUACUUUUUAUAAAAUAACUUUUUUCAAACCACAACUACAACAGCUACAGCAAUACCAAACACACUCUAAAUUGCAGACGUUUGGCAGUGUGUUCAAAAACAUAUUUUUAAAAAAAAUUGAUUUUUUUUAUUUUAAAUUAAUAUAUUUUUAAUAUUUUUAAAUUAUUUUGAUGUAAAUCUUAAAAAUAAUUUUUAAAAACUAAAAAAAUAUUAUUAACAUAUUUUUUUAAAUAAAAAAUAUUUUAAAAAAUAACCUCAGCUAUUCACACACAGCCGGAAAGAAGAGAAACCACACAAUCACGCUAAAGAUUUGCUAUCGAAUAUAAUAUGACAUAAAACCCAAUUGCAUCAGCGGGCAUGUGAUCAAUAAUAUUAAAAUAAGGUAAUAGUUGAUGGGGCCACAAAUUAAACCAGCUCUCAACUCGCUACAAAUAGCUGCAAUGGCCUUUCAUUCUACGUUAUAUUUUCAUUUUUUACUUUCAUGGAAUCCUCUUUGCCUUCCACCCAAAUCUUGGAUUCUGGUGACAGUGCAGAGAGGAAAAAUGAAGCUAAAAAUUACAAUGAAGUGAUGUCCACCUUUCCGAAAGUUAAAGGCUUGAAUGGGUAUGAUUAUUACCUGUACCAAGGCUUUUGGUACGCUCCCUUCUUCUUGGAAGGACUCAUGUCUGUUCAAGAGGGCUUCAAUCCUCAAUCCACUGAUAUAUUUGUCGCCAGUUUUCCAAAAACUGGCACAACUUGGCUUAAGGCCCUCACUUUUGCUAUUGUCACACGAUCCCGUUUAAGUGGUUCAACAACUAGUUCUUUACUUACCAAGAUGCCACAUGACUGUGUUCCUUUUUUGGAAUAUGACCUUGCUCAAAACCCCAGUAAUCGGGACUUGGCAAUUCCUCUGGUAUCUACUCAUGUUCCUUACACUUGUUUACCUAAAUCUAUCAUUUCUUCUAGUUGCAAGAUUAUUUACAUUUGCAGGGACGCAAAGGAUGCUUUUGUUUCUUUGUGGUACUUUCUUGCCAGGCUGCAAAUGUCGAAAAAUGUUGAACCUCUUCCUCUGGAAGGGGCAUUUGAGUUGUUUUGCAAUGGAAUUGCAAAUUUUGGACCAUAUUGGGACCAUGUUUUAGGGUAUUGGAGAGCAAGCUUCGAGUUCCCUGAGAAGAUAUUGUUCUUGACAUAUGAGGAAAUGAAGCAAGACACAGCUGCUCAUGUUAAGAAAUUAGCUGAGUUCAUGGGUUGUUCUUUCACCUUAGAGGAAGAGGAGGGAGGGGAGGUGCAAAAGAUAAUAAGCAUGUGUAGUUUUGAGAAGUUGAGCAGCUUGGAGGUCAAUAAAAAUGGGAAGCACCGUCCGGACACAUCACUUGCUAUUCAAAACAGUGUAUACUUCAGGAGAGGUGAGAUAGGCGACUGGGCAAAUCACUUGACACCUGAAAUGGGAGCACGUCUAGAUGACAUAAUGGAGCAGAAACUCAAGGGUUCAGGCUUGAAGCUGCCCAGGUGACUGUGCCUAGGGUCCCAUUUGCUUAUGAUUAUUGCCCAAGCGGGUUCAUCAAAAGCUGUUAUCAACAUCUCGUGAAACAGAAACUGUGUAUCCCAAUAAAUACCCUCUUUGUUCAUCUCUUGUAUUUCCUAUCAAGUAUUCACAUUUUGUGAAUCAUCCAUGUCAAUAAGCAAUGUUCUUUUGUGAAUCUGUGUUUGUGACUUUCAUUGAUUUCCUUGCAUGCUUGUAAGAAUUCAAAAUGGGAUUCGUUUUUUUAUUUAUUUAUUUAACACAAGUGCAUGCAUUCCAUUAAUCAGUUGGAUAAAAAAUAAAUUUACUCUAAUAUAUAAUAUUAGAGUGUUUUCUUCACAGAAAUUGCAGUGUGUUUUCUUCACAGUUAUACAUGUUUUAAAAGAACCGAGACAACCCAUACAUGAGGGCGGAGCAAAGACCAACCGAGACAACCAUCCAUUAAGAUUGUUGAAUUGCAGAUCAAAUGAACGUAGGCGGCACAUCUGCUGGAAGGAUCUCGAAAUGCCUUGUAAUUGGUUAAAAUAAAGAUCAAGAUCUGUAGGAGAACUCGUGUUUUCCACUCCUAAAAUAAGCCCAGUUGCCGGCUUCAUGUGCAACAGAGGCACAUAGAGAAUCUGAAAGCAGUUUUUAUGCACUAUCAGCAGAAUAAUUUGAUCAGUCAGAAUGAAAACCCCCCCCCCCAGGCUCACAAAUCUUCUUACUUCAAACAAAUCUUUUGGAACCGAUAUAUAUGUCGAGUGAUGGCUUGAUUUAUACCGGAGAUUGUGUUGGAAAAUUAAAGAAGCAUGGCUUAAUUUGUACCUUGGAUGCGCAAAUUGAUUACAGGGAAAAAAUGACAGAAAGUGAGUUGCAGGGAAUGAAAAAGGCAUUAGUAAACUCAACACCUUUCAGGGUAUCGUUCCUUGGUUUGCUCCCUUUUAUUUCUUAUUUUGUUUUUCCUGCCAUUGUCUAAUGUUUUUCUAACUCGCAGUCUGGUCUCUGCAGAGAAUGAGAAAGCACAAACUCUUUAAGAGAAGAUAUUCUCCGGCAAUGGCAUCAAACAGAAAAGUCCGACGUCAACUAAGUGAGUGUAUAGCGUUGCUGCUGUGUUUACAGAAAAACACCAUUGUCAUGUGUUUGGUUACGGUCUAAACAUAAUUUUUUAUCGGUGAGACCCAUUACCAUUUGCAUUUAAACCGCAAGAUAACCAGAAGCAACUUUAAGCUGCGUUUUGUUUUGAGUUGCAAAUUGUGUUAUAAAUAGAGGCCACAAGAAAAAGAGCAGAAACAGAGCAGUGAAUAGUGAUUAGUGGAGAGCAACUCCCUCUCACCACUGACCUCCGCCAGCCACUGCUUUUUCUCUUCUCCUUCUCUUCUCGUUCUCCUUCGUCUUCUGCAUUCUCUACUGUUCACGUGAACAAUGGAGAGUGGAGAGCAGCUCACCAUCAACCCCUGCUGUUUCCACCGCCAGCCACUGCUCUUCCUCUUCCCCUUCUCCUUCGUCUUUUACGUUCUCCACUGUUAAUGUGAACAGUGGAGAGCAGCUCACCACCGGCCUUCACUAUUUCCACUGCCAGCCACUGCUCUUCCUCUUCCCCUUCCCCUUCUCCUUCCCCUUCUCCUUCUCAUUCAUCUUCUGCAUUCUCCACUGUUCAUGGCCGGACUGGGCCUAGCCCAAACCUAAAUGUAUUUGACUGGGUCCGACCCAGUAAAAUAAAAAAAAAUCCAAAUUUUUUUUCUUAAAUAUUGUGUUUUAUUUGAAAAACUAGUGUUUAAAAUUAUUCAAUGACACUACAUAAUUAUAUUAGAAGGAGAUCGCACGAUGACGUAGCAUGUGCAGAAUUUGAUUGCAAUCCUAAUUUUUUUCCUAAUGAUAUUUUACAUGAUGUAAUGAUAUCUUACCUGAUGUUGGUGCAAGUUCAGGAAGCCAUGGAAACUGUAGUUCUUGUCGGAUGGAUUUCGUAUAUGAUUGAAUUGCAAAUAGUUUAAUGGAACAAUAAAAAAUACUUUAUAUAAAGUAUUGUUUAUUUCAUGAUGUAAUAGCAGUAGUUAAAUCUAUAAUAUUUCAAUUAAAAACCAUCAAUAUUAAUAUAUGUCUUUUUUAGUUAUUUUAUAACCUCAAUUUGAAAAGUAUUCUUUAACCAAACACAUUAAACUACUUUUUGUUCAACCUCAAUUUCAACCACAGUUUUAACCAAACAUAUAUUUUUCCAAACUAAUCUAAACUAAAAGUAUUUUUUAUAAAAACAAUUUUUUUCAAACCACAACAGCUACCACAAUACCAAACACACACAAAAAAAACUGUACUGAUAAGUAAGUUACAAUGCCACCACUGAUUUAGGAUCUGCUUUAGAUCUUAUAAGGUGAAAGUUGAAAGCUAGCAAGAAUCGUCACAGAGAUGAACAGAGAAGUGAAUAGAAUUAGAGGGAGAUACUGCAAUGCAGAGGAAGAAGAAAAACAUUUCUGUGUAUAUUCACUUAUAUUUUUUUACCAGCGCUGUUACAUUCAUUUUAUAUGAACCAAGAUGAGAAGCUUGUUUACGUAAUCUAAUCAACAGUAACAGACUUUGUUAACUGUCUAACAAUAUUAACAAACUUUCUAACCAUUGUAUUCUCUAUUCUCUUGACAGGUGGCAGAAGCAGAGCCUUUGAUAUCUUGACAUUCCCCCUCAAUCACAAGCGUGAAGGAACCAAGCAUAAGAUUGGAACAGUGACGCCGAAAUAAAGGAGUGGAAAGACCUUUAGUUAGGAUAUUAGCAAAUUGAUCGGUAGAAGAGACAUGUUGAACCAACAAAUCACCUUUGACAACACGUUCUCAAACAAAAUGAUAAUCAAUUUGGAGAUGCUUCAUUCUGGAAUGGAAGACUGGAUUGGAAGCAAGGGAAAUAGUUGAGAUAUUGUCAUAAUGAAUUAACGGAGGGAUAUGUAAAGGAAUGUGAAUGUCACAGAGCAGUUGGCGAAUCCAGGCAAGUUUGGCAGCAGCAAUUGCUAGAGCCCGAUACUCAACCUCAGUAGAUGAUCGAGAAACAAUAUGUUGUUUCUUAGAAGCCCAAGAAAUAGGACUGGAGCCGAGGAAAACAAUAGAGCCAGAGACAGAACGUCGAUCAUUGGGAUCGCCAACCCAGUCAGCAUCACUAUAAGCUUGUCGAUUAAGAAGACUAGGCUGAAAAUGAAGGCCAAAAUCAAGGGUACCUUUAAGAUACCGCAAGAUUCUUUUGACAGCCACAACAUAAGAAUGCAUGGGAUUAUGCAUAAAUUGACAAGCUCGGUUCAUAGAGAAAGCAAUAUCGAGCCUGGUGAACGUGAGAUACUGCAAUGCGCCAACUAUGCUCCGAUAUUGUUGUGGAUGAGAGUAGGCUUAGCCAUCAUCUUUGAGCAAAUGAUGAUGAGGAAGACAAGAAGUAUCAAAUGAUUUGGAAUUUUGUAAAUCAACUCUAGCAAGUAAGUCUGUGAUAUAACUUAUCUAGGACACAAACAAACCAGAAGGGAGAUAAGAGAUUUGCAAUCCCAAAAAAUAAUUCAACUUACCGGUAUCCUUCAUAUCAAAUUUCUGAGUCAAGGCAGCAAUGACUGAAGAAAGAAGAGAAUAAUGACUGCUAGUAAGAAUGAUAUCAUCUAAAUAGAGUAGCAAUAUCACAACACUAAGAGAAGAAUGCUGAACAAACAAAGAGGGAUCGACAAGAGAUGCUUGAAACCCCAAACAUGGUAAAAAAACUGGUAAAACGUUCAUUCCAGGCACGAGGAGCCUGUUUAAGGCCAUACAAGGACUUUCUUAGUCUGCAAACAAAGUUAGCAGGAUAAAGCUUACUCAUAAAACCUUGGGGUUGAGUCAUAUAAACCUCCUCAUGAAGAAUACCAUGCAAAAAGGCAUUGGUAACGUCAAGCUACCGUAAGGACCAGUUAAACUGAGCUGCAAGAGUAAGAAUUAAACGAACCAUAGUAGGUUUUAUGACAGGACUGAAAGUUUCAUUAUAGUCAAUUCCUUCCUCUUGAAUGAAACCCUUAGCCACCAAUCGAGCUUUAUGCCUAGCUAUAGAACCAUCCGCAUGCUUCUUGAGUCGGUAGACCCAUUUACAGCCAACAAGAUUCUUAGCAGGUGGGAGAGGCACCAAAUCCUAAGUACCUUAUGCAUGAAGAGCAUCAAUUUCCUCCCACAUAGCAGACUGCCAUUCUGGAAAGGUUGAAGCAGCCUUGAAGGAACUGGGUUCAACCUGAGAAAAAGCAACAGACUAUACAGAGGUAAAGUAAGCCUUUCUUUUGGAAAUACCAUUCUUAAACCUGAUGGUCAUUGGAUGAAGAUUCAUCGGUGAAAGAGGUAAGACCACACACAGAUUCUCAGGUUGGAAGUCAGGAUCAAAUCUAGUGACAAAGAAGCGAUUGGUUUGAAUAAAAAAACAGAAAUACCCUUUAUACUGACCAGCAUACCCCAGAAAAAUACAAGUGGAAGUUUUGGGCUGAAGUUUGUUAGUAUUAUAAGGCUUGAGUAAAGGAAAACAAGCACAACCAAAAAUCCACAAAUGAGUAAUGACCAGUGGAGAACCAUAUAACAGGAAAUAAGGUGAUUUGAGUUGAAGAAUUUGACAGGGCAUUCUAUUAAUCAAAUAAAUAGAAGUAGCACAAGCACGAAACCAAAAUUUUGGAGGUAAAUGGGCAGUUUGUAACAGAGUGAUGGCUGUUUCUAAAAUAUACCUAUGUUUGCGCUCAGCAAGGCCAUUCUGUUUCGGAGUAUAGGGACAGGACAUUUGAUGGACAAUACCCUUGGUAAAGAGGUAAUGUUUGAAUUUAGUACUAAGAUACUCACCACCCCCAUCACUUUGAAAGACUCGAAGAGUAGCAGAAAAUUGAGCAACUAAAAAGGUAUGAAAGUAGGCAAAAAUGGAAUAAACCUCUCCUUUAUUGAUCAUCAGAAAAAACCAAGUAAAUCGAGUACAUUCAUCAAUGAAACUAACAUAAUAUCUGAAACCUUCAACAGAUACAGUGGGAGAAGAACCCCAAACAUCACUAUGUAUGACCUCUCAAGGUUUAACAAAUUUAACUGCGGGAUAGGGAAAAGGAAGUUUAGCAAGUUUACCCUCUAAAAAAGUGGUACAAACGAAUUUGGAUGUGUUUGAAGUGAAAGAAAUCUGGGAUUGAUUUAACAGAGUAGAGGUGACUAUGUUAGAGGGAUGACCAAAACGCUUGUGCCAGAGACUUGUGUUGACCUGUUUACCAAGAUAGCAAACUUGAUUAUUUUGAAAGAGAGAUUAUGAAGGAAACGAAAUGGAGAAAGGAAUAGGAUAUAACCCAGCUCUACACAGUCCCUUGAGAAGGACAUUUCCCAUGAAUUUGUCCUGAAUCCAAAAACCAAAAUCAUCACAAAUAAAUCGACAGUUGUUAUCUUUACACAACUUAUGAACCGAUAAUAAGUGUUGAGAUAGCUUAGGCACAUGCAAAACUUGCUUUAAUUGUAAUGAGCAUUGAUGAACAUCUAAAAUAAAAGAACCAAUAUUAGAAAUGGUCAAACUUGAACCUCCUGUAGUGGUAACAGUAUCAGAUCCUGAGAAAGGUGUAGCCAGAUUGAGUUGAGCCAAAUCAGAAGUCAUAUGUGUUGUGGUGCCAUUAUCAGCCAGCCAUAAUUGUUCAGGAGGGGAAGAAGAUGGAAAAUUGGCAUGCAUAGCACUAAGAUUACUGGAGGGAGGCCUGCCUUGAUAGCUGAAAUUACCUCUAUGAUAACAUUGAACGGCAGAGUGCCCAAAUUUUCAACAAAUUUGACAUUGAAUGGAAGUGGCAAAAGUACUUAGCAGAGUGUGGCGUUGAUAACAAUUAGCAGCUACAUGACCUUUUUUAGUACAAAUUUGACAUGUAGGAAUGUCAAUGCCAGAACCAAGAAUGCCAGGAUUAGAAGUAGGUGGAACCUAAUAAGGGCGUGGACUAGAUUGAUAAUGAUUACGUCCUCUGCCAUAACCCUUAAAAUUAAACCCCUGAUUGCCAAAGUAUCCUCCAGUAGAACCAUGAAAGCUACUGUGAUGACCAUUAAAUCCUCCAUUGAAACCAGAAGGAAAUUAAGAUGGUGGAGCAGACUUGGAGCUAGAAGGAUGAGAAUUAGAGUUACCUUUAUCAAGAGCAAGAGCCUUGCCAGGAGAUAUUUGAUGUUGAGCCAUCACUGCAGGAACAAACAGGGAAGCAGAAUAAGUUUGCUCAAGAAUGGCUUCUUCAGCUAGCAAUUGAGACCGAAAAUCUUUAAGGGAUAACACGUUGUCUCGGUCGCGAACAAUACACCUAAAGGUGUUAUAAUUAGAAGGAAGACCAUUGAGAGCCAAGAUUACAAUAUCAUCAUCUUCAAAAUAAACCCCUGCUACAGAAAGAUGGUCUCGAGCAUCUUUGAUCUUUUACAGAUAUUGAGACACAGAAUCUGAGCCCUUCUUGAUGGUUUGAAGCUCACUUUUCAUCUGAAAAAUAUGUGCCUUAGUAAUUGUGGAAAAUCUAUUCUUCAGUUGAAUCCACAUGUCAUGAGAGCUAACACAUUCAAUAACAUAGGAGAUUGCAGUUGAUGAGAGAGUAGCAAUAAUCAACUGCAUCAAUGUCCGGUCAUACAUUUUCCAAACCUGAUGAUCAUCAGUUUCAACACAUUCAAGGUCAGCAUCUGCAUCAAACCGAUUUGGACACUUUCUUGAUCCAUCAACAAAUCCUAAAAUACCAUAACUCUCAAGUAGAAUAUGCAUAUGAAAAUUCCAGAUGAGAUAAUUUGUGUCAUCCAGCUUGACUGUUACAGCUGUUGAAACUGUAGGAAGUAAACAGGUAAUAGGAGAUUGAACAAUUUAAAGUUGAGAAGUAGUCACCAUUUUAGAGUUCAAGAGAUAGCGAGGAAGAGAAUCACAUACGAUAGGCAUAGUCCCAGAUUUGAGAAGAGAGUUGAAGAAGAAUUUUUCAGUUUGACAAUAUAUCAAAUAGAUGAUAGGUAGAUCAAUUAUUAUGAAAGAAUUGGUUGAUUAAGGCGAUAAUAAUACCAGAAACAGAGAGUAGCAAGAUAUUAGAAGCAGAGAAAUCACAGGAUCACAAGAUAAUAACAAUCCUAAGCUCUGAUACCAUGAAAGCUAGCAAGAAUCAUCACAAAGAUGAACAGAGAAGUGAAUAGAAUUAGAGGGAGAUACUGCAAUGCAGAGGAAGAAGAAAAACAUUUCUGCAUAUAUUCACUUAUAUUUUUACCAACAUUGUUACAUACAUUCAUUUUAUAUGAACCAAGAUGAGAAGCUUGUUUACGUAAUCUAAUCAACAAUAACAGACUUUGUUAACUAUCUAACAAUAUUAACAAACUUUUUAACCAUUAUAUUCUUUAUUCUCUUGACAGGGCAGAAGCAGAGCCUUUGAUAUCUUGACAAAAGUAAAACACAAGGAAAUGCAUGCAUGCACACCACUAAUCUUUGAUUCUGGCGAGAACAGUGAUGACUACACUCUGAACCAAAUAGAAUUACAUUCCGAGAUGAAGAAAUUAAUAACACAGAGCAGUGCUAUAAAGCUACAUGUGAAACCAGAGAUUAAUAAGCAAUGCUGAAAAUUUUAUCAAGCAUAAGACGAGAGAAGCAUAGGACAUAUUUUUCCCACAAUUGAAUAUGUGAAUUGAGCACAGAUUUCCCUGUUGCAAACUGUUCCUAAUUUCUCAAAUGAUUAACUAGAAUACGAGUUGCACUUAAAAUUUUAAAGCAACAUAUAUGCUCUUGAUUUUUAGUGAAUUGCUGAAACAAACAUACAAGCUCGAUCACACCUCUAGAACAGAGUGACAGUUCAUGGUGACCUCAAAGACUGCAUCAAGUCCUCCAAGCUCUCGUAACUUUUCCCUAAAGCCCCCCCCAGUCUUCCUUAAUUACCAUGCCAGAUGUAUCUGAAUGAAUGCAACCCAUACAGUGAAAUGAAUAAGCAAUCAGAAAAGGAGAGAGAGAGAGUGAAAAAAUUUGUCACAAAACUAGAUAAUGGCGACCACAUAUCAAUAAUUCGAGAUAUGACGUGGGGCACUUUCAUCGUGAUUAUUGUUUGUCCAAUAAUGUUGGAUGUAUUAUUUCUUGUUAAGACUUUUUAGGUUGUGAAAAGUCCAAGAUGUAGUAUAAUAAAAUAAAUAUAACCUUUGAUUUUAUCAUUUAUAUUGAGCUGAAAUUUUGACAUACAAUUCUAAAGAUUUUGUGGUUAAAAUUUCAAGAUCUUAAAAAAAAGACCUUUAAAUAAGGAUUUAAAGUUACUAUGAGAUGGUCUUUAUUUACCUAUUUGGUAUUGUUUUUAUUUAUAUUAGGAAUUUUAAUUUAAUUAGUAUUUUAUUAUUAAAAAAUUCUAAUAAUAGAUUGAUUCUAUUAGUUAGGCAAGUUUUAAAUACAAUUUAUUUUUCUAUACAAAAUUUUAUAUCUAGAACAAAUAUAAAUAAAAAUAUUUAGUUUAUUUUUUGUUCGGGUAUUCAUAUUAUUAUUAAGAUUUUUUAAAAAUAUUUAGAGAUUUUUUUUUAUUUCGCUAUUGUGUUAGGACUAUAACCUUAAGGUUUGGAUGUUUGUGAAAGUGGAAGCGGUUACUUUUUAAAAUGUUUUUCACUUAGAAAUGCAUCAAAAUCAUAUAUAUAUUUUUUAUUUUUUAAAAUUAAUUUUUGACAUCAAAACAAUGCAAAAACACCAAAAAAUUAAUUUGAAAAAAAAUCAAAAAUUUUGAAAACCUCGAUCAAAAUGUUGUACCAAACACCCUCUUAGUUUUAUCUUAUUUUUAAAAAAUAAUUCUUGAUAUUAGCAAACAAAACAAUUUAAUAACACAAAAAAAUUAAUUUUAAAAAAUCAAAAUCUUAAAAAACUCUCGUCUAAAUGUUUGCUUUUAGUUUUAUCAUCGUUGCACUGCGUAAAGAUGCUAAAAAGAAAAUAGUUGAUAUAGCCACCUAAGUGCUGGUGGUGUUUCAGAGUGUAGUAGCGAUUGUUUUUUAAAGUGUUUUUUACUCGGAAAUGCAUUAAAAUAAUAUUUUUUUAUUUUUAAAAAAUUAUUUUUAACAUCAGCAUAUCAAAAUGAUCUGAAAAUACUGAAAAAAAUAUUAAUCUAAAUUAAAUAAAAAAAUAAAAAAAAAUCAAUCUCUUUUAAAAAUAUUUUUAAAAUGCAGAAACAAACAGGAUCUCUCAACCUGCUACAAAUAACUGCUGCAAUGGCCUUUCUUUAAUAUUUUACUUACACCAUUCUGCACAAUAUUUUCUUUUGUACAUCCAUGGAACCCUCUUUGCCUUCUACACAAAUUCAAAGCCCAUGCUAAAAACUACAAGGAAAUGAUCUCUACCUUUCUACAAGUUAAAGGCUUUUGGUACUUUCCGUCCUUCUUGGGAAGACCCAUCUCAGUUCAAGAACACUUCGAGCCUCAAUCCACUGAUAUAUUUGUCGUCAGCUUCCAAAAACGAAGGAAAUCUUUGGUUAAUGUUCUCUAAUAAGUACUAACACCUUUUCUCCUUCAACAGUGAAAUUUACGUGCCUUUCACACCUUUUUACGUUCGAACAUUUCAUUUGUUCUUGUGCUCUAAAUUCUAAAUUGAGUCUGUUUUUGUGAGUUCCAUUCUUCUAUUUAAAAGAUUAGAAAACGCAAGAUUGCAUCAAUGCUAAAUGCAAUUUCAAUAUCUGUGUGUGUGUCAAAUGCAUGGUGAUGUUACAUGAUGUGUUUGUUUUUACGUUUCAAAAAUAUUUUUUUAAAAUUAAAUUUUAUUUAUUUAUUUUUUAUUUUAAAUUAAUAUUUUUUAGUUUUUUCGGAUUAUUUUAAUUUACUGAUAUCAAAAUUAACUUUUUUAAAAUAAAAAAAAUAUUAUUUUAAUACAUUUCUGAGUAAAAAAUACUUUGAAAAGUAACUGCUACUACACUUCCAAAUAUACCCUUAAAAAAACAAAGUUAUGGAGUUGGAGGCUCUAAAUAUUCCUCAAAAUAUCAAGUCUUAAGGGCUCGGAGCUAUUAUCCAGUCUUAAAAUUUUUGCAUUUUAAAAAUAUUUUUAAAAAAAUGAAUAUUUUUUACUUUUUUUUAUUUUAAACUAUAUUUUUUUCUUUCUGUUUUUAUAUUGUUUUUAUGUAAAAAAUAAAUUUUAAAAAAUAUAAAAAUAUUUUUUUAAAAACAAUCACCAUACAAUAACAAAUAAAAUAUUAAUAUGAAAUAAAAUCUAAUUCUACCAGCAGACAGCUGAUAAGAAUACUAAAAAAGUGUAAAUUUUGACUUAAUUCAAUUAUUAGAAUUUGGGGCAGCGUAACAGUGUCAAAGAAAAUGUCAGAAAAGUAGGGCAAACAGUGCAAAUACCUUGGAUGAUGGUGACCAAAUAUUUGUAAUUUGAGACAUCUCGUUCUUGAAAAGAAAUAGUUAAUAGUGCCAAUAAUUUUUUUUUAUUAAUUUGAGGUGUUCAGACCAGUUUGCAUGCACCUCGACUAAUACUUACGGUUCUUGAAGUUAACGAAUAAAUAAGCCUCCAGUGGCCAUCAAUAUUAACAACUACAAGGCUCGAACUUGAGACCACAGGGGGGCAAACCCCUUGAUCCAAAACUCUUACCACUUGACCACCUACUAGAUGGUUAGUACCAAUAAUUAAUUUGCUCUCAACUUGCUACAAAUAGCUGCCAUGAUCACAUAUUCAAGAAACACUAGUUUAAGAGCUUGGGAUCAAGAGGUUUGCUCCCUCUGUAGUCUCAGGUUCAAGCCCUGUGGUUGCUCAUAUGAUGGCCACUGGAGGCUUACAUGGUCGUUAACUUCAGGGCCCGUGGGAUUAGUAGAGGUGCGUGUAAGCUGGCCCGGACACCCACGUUAAACUAAAAAAAAAAAAACACUAGUUUAUAAACCCUGAGGGGUAGCUCAACUGGUUAGAUUUUGAGUAUGUUUCCUAAUAAUCACGAGUUUGAGUUCUUUUAGGCCAACUGGAGGCUUACAUAGUUUUAAACUUCAGGACUCGUGAAAUUAGUAAAGGUACAUACAAAUUCAGUGGUGGAGCCAGAAAUUUUUAAAUGAGGAGGCAAAUUACUAACAAAUAUUUGAUAUUAUAUGCUAUACAUAUAUAUGUUAUAUAUAGAAAUGAAUUUGAAAUACAUGUGCCUCAAGUCAAGCAAAAUUAAUUUAAGAAUACUUUUAAAAUGAAAAAAACUUAUGUUAUAAUUGUUUUCUUCGAGAUUUUAUAUUUUAAAACUGCUUCAUAAUAAUUUUAUUUUUAAUUUCAUUAAAAAUAUAUUUCUCAAUAUAUACAACAAACUUUCAUUUAUCUAUUUCUAAAUCUUCCAAGUACUAGGAAAGUUGUUGACAACAAUUUUAUGCUGACAUAUGGUACAUAACAUCUAAAAUCAUAUCUUAAAAGAAUUGUCAUAAAUUGAAGUUGUUCUUACUGACUUGUUGUUUUGUACAAGUAGAUUAAAUAUAAAUAUUAAAUGUUUUUUUAAAUUUAUCUAUUAUGUCUCUAAUUUUUUUAGUUGUCUUAUACUUCAUUUUUAAUCAUUAGUAAAUUCAUUAUCAUCGUUUUUCAUAUGAAAUUCAUAACAAAACUUAUCAAUUCAUCAAAACUCAUUUCAAUUCAUAUCCAUUAGCAUAUAAUAUUACCCAUACACAUAUUAAUUCAACAAACCCAUAAAUUAUUAUAAACCCUAACAUUUUUAAUAACUAAUUUUUGGAGAUGUAGACCCAGUAUUUUUGGAGCUUCCAUAUCUAGUUGACCUAUCAGGAAGAGAUGAAGUUAACGUUUGGGAAUGCGGUGCAAACCAUGUUCCCCUAAAAUUAAAUUUUUUUUUGUUAAAAAUUAAUUUUUUGGUAUAUUUUGGAUCGUUUUGAUGCGCUGAUCUCAAAAAUAAUUUUUAAAAAAUAAAAAAACAUCAUUUUGAUGCAUUUCGGCACAAAAAAUACUUUGAAAAGCAACUGUAACCACACUCCUAUACAAGUAAAGUCUCUAACAGCACAAGUAUAAAAAAUAUAACUGCUGGGCAAACCAACUCUUUUCUCAAACCCAUCAGUUGCCUCAUGAUAUAUAUAUAUAUAUACACAUAUAUAUAUAUAUAUAUAUAUAUAUAUAUACACACACACACCAUGCAUAGAAUUCAUGGAUAAAAGAAAGGAAUUGGAUCUGAUUUGAGGUGGGGGGAUUGCCCCCUCUUGCCUUUAUGUGGCUCCGCCACUAUAUAAAUUAGUUUGGAUAUUUACAUUAAUUAAAAAAAAAAUACUGGUCUAGAAAAGCGAUCUACAAGGUGAUUAUUUAGUUGACUAAUUGAAUCUGUUUUUUAUAAAAAAAAUAUUUUAGAAGAUAAUUUUUAAUAAUUUUAGAUUUUUUUAUAUAUAAAUAUCAAAAAUAAAAUUAAAAAAAUAACAAAAUAUUAUUUUAAUAUAAUUUUAAAUAAAAAACACAUUUAAAAAAACUUAAUAGUAUACUCUCAACCAAGGUUGUCAAUUCCGUUUCGGUAGGUGUUUCGUUUUUUUAAUUGGAAUGGAAUGUUUCAGUUUCGGAGUGUUUCGGCGUGCCGUUCCGGGGUUGUACUGUUCAUAUAUAUAUAUUCAACAAACAUAAUUCAAAUUCAAGAUAAAUUAAUUAUAAAUUAUGCAAUACAAACACAAUGCCAAACAAAUAUAAUUUCAAAAUUUAAAAUAUUUCUAAAUAGUCAAGAUUAAAUAGAUCUUUACCUUAAAGUAAUUCAACUUAAACAAAAUAUCAAAAUAUUAUGAAAGUAAAAUGUUUUAACAUAAAUAUUUUAAAUAUAAAGUUAGGUCAAUGUUAUCAAGGCUAAUUGAAUCUAAAGCAUCCCUUGGUUUGCUCAAAUUUCUACAAAGUAUAAACAUGAAAAAAAAACAUGAAUAUAAACCUUAUAUAUUAGUGAUAAAUCUAAUUUUAAAAAAUUAAUAUCAUUGUUAAUGAAAAUAGUAAUAAUAAUUUUCAAUAUUAUUAUUAAUAUCAUUGUUAUUGAAAAUAGUAAUGAAAAAGAGCCUUUUAUAAUUGGGUGAUUUAAUUAAUUAAAUUGAACAAAAUUCAAUUUGAUUCAAUGGAUUUUCAAGAACGGAACGAAACAAGUGGAAUGAAACCGGAACGUUCCGGGUGGAAUUUAGCCGAAAAAUACAGAACAGACCGAGAUUUAAAAUAAAAUGAAAUUUAUUUUAUUUUUUAAAUUGGUAUGAAAUAUUUCGUUUAUUUCAUACGAAACAAAACAGAAUUGACAACUUGCUCUCAAGCACCCAAAAUAGAGGAUUCAAUUGUAUUGUGGGUUCCACACCAUUUAAAGCUUGCAAAGAAGGAUUUGAAACACAAUCACACUAAAGAUUUGCAAUGGAAUAUAAUAUAAAAUAAUACCCAAUGGCAUCAGCGGACAUGUAAUCAAUAAUAUUAAAAUACAGUAAAUUUUGAUUUAAUUCAAUUAUUGGAUUCUAGGCAGCGUGACAAUGUCAGAAAAUCUUGGAUGAUGGUGACCAAAUAUAUCAGUAAUUUGAGACAACACGUUCCCGAAAGGUAAUAGCUGAUGGUGCCAAAAAUUAAACCAGCUCUCAACUCGCUACAAAUAGCUGCCAUGGCCUUUCAUUCUACCUUAUAUUUCUUUUUUAACUUUCAUGGAAUCCUCUUUGCCUUCCUCCCAAAUCUUGGAUUCUGAUGGAAAUGCUGAGAGGAAAAAUGAAGCUAAAAAUUACAAUGAAGUGAUGUCCACCCUUCCAAAAGUUAAAGGCUUGAGGGGGGAUGAUUAUUACCUGUACCAAGGCUUUUGGUACGCUCCCUUCUUCUUGGAAAGACUCAUGUCUGUUCAAGAGCACUUCCAUCCUCAAUCCACUGAUAUAUUUGUCGCCAGUUUUCCAAAAACUGGCACAACUUGGCUUAAGGCCCUCACUUUUGCUAUUUUCACACGAUCCCGUUUAAGUGGUUCAACAACUAGUUCUUUACUUUCCAAGAUGCCACAUGACUGUGUUCCUUUUUUGAAUUAUAACCUUGCUCAAAACCCCAGUAAUCGGGACUUGACAAUUCCUCUGCUAUCUACUCAUGUUCCUUACAGUUGUUUACCUAAAUCUAUCAUUUCUUCUUGUUGCAAGAUUAUUUACAUUUGCAGGGACGCAAAGGAUGCUUUUGUUUCUUUGUGGUACUUUCAUGCCACGUUGCAAAGGUCGAAAAAUGUUGAGCCUCUUCCUCUGGAAGAGGCUUUUGAGCUGUUCUGCAAUGGAAUUGCAAAUUUUGGACCCUACUGGAACCAUGUUUUAGGGUACUGGAGAGCAAGCUUGGAGUUCCCCGAGAAGAUACUGUUCUUGACAUAUGAGGAAAUGAAGAAAGACACCGCUGCUCAUGUUAAGAAAUUAGCUGAGUUCAUGGGUUGUUCUUUCACCCUAGAGGAAGAGGAGGAAGGGGAGGUGCAAAAGAUAAUAGGCAUGUGUAGUUUUGAGAAGUUGAGCAACUUGGAGGUGAAUAAAAAUGGGAAGUGCCUUCUAGACAUAUCAAUUCCUAUUCCAAAUAGUAUAUUCUUCAGGAAAGGUGAGAUAGGCGACUGGGCAAAUCACUUGACACCUGAAAUGGGAGCACGUCUAGAUGACAUAAUGGAGCGGAAGCUCAAGGGUUCAGGCUUGAAGCUGCCCAGGUGACUGUGCCUGGGCCCCGUUUGCUUAUUAUUAUUGGCUUAGUGGGUUCGUCAAAAGCUGUUAUCAACAUCUCGUGAAACAGCAACCGUGUAUCCCAAUAAAUACCCUCUCUGUUCAUCUCUUGUAUUUCCUAGCAAGUAUUCACAUUUUGUGAAUCAUCCAUGUCAAUAAGCAAUAUUCUUUUGUGAAUCUGUGUUUGUAACUUUCAUUGAUUUCCUUGCAAGUUUGUAAGAAUUAAAAAUGGGAUUCGUUUUUUAUUUAUUUAUUUAACACAAGUGCAUGCAUUCCAUUAAUCAGUGAUAAAAAAAAAUAAAAUUACUCUACUAUAUAAUAUUAGAGUGUUUUCUUCACAGAAAUUGCAGUGUGUUUUCUUCACACUGCAAUACAUGUUUUAAAAGAACCGAGACAACCAUACAUGAGGGCGGAGCAAAUACCAACCGAGACAACCAUCCAUUAAGAUUGUUGAAUUGAAGAUCAAAUGAACAUAGGCGGCACAUCUGCUGAAAGGAUCUCGAAAUGCCUUGUAAUUGGUUAAAAUAAAGAUCAAGAUCUGUAGGAGAACUCGUGUUUUCCACUCCUAAAAUAAGCCCAGUUGCCGGCUUCAUGUGCAACAGAGGCACAUAGAGAAUCUCCCCCCCCCCCCCUCCAGGCUCAGAUCACAAAUCUUCUUACUUCAAACCAAUCUUUUGGAACCGAUAUAUAUGUCGAGUGAUGGCUUGAUUUAUACCGGAGAUUGUGUUGGAAAAUUAAAGAAGCAUGGCUUAAUUUGUACCUUGGAUGCGCAAAUUGAUUACAGGAAAAUAUCAAAAAAAAAUUUCCUUUCUUUAUAACUUAUGAAGAGUAAAAUAAAAAAAAAGUUAAUAGUAAAACAAAAUAACCCCAAGUGUACAUUAUCAAUGCAAAACUAGAUUUUUCCUUAUUUUAUAUCCCUUUCUUUUGAUAUACUUCUUCUUUUAUGCCCCUUUCUUUUGGUAUAUCUCUUCUUUGUAUCUUUUGGUGUUAAUCACUUUGUUGAAUGCCUCUGUUGAUAUCUUUUAUAACUCACUACAGUGAUUUGAACAUUGAAAAUGUUUCCUUUUAAAAAAAAAAAAUAGAGAAGGCAUUUUGAUUUCAUCUUCAAUUUUUCUGCAUGUCUUCUUCUUUCAAAGUAUUGGGUUUAAAACACAAUCAUGCUCUACAUCAUGCUUUGAGUUUUCCAGGUUAUUUUCAGAAAGAUUUGAUAUAUUUGACCUGAAAGAAAAAAAGGAUGUACAAAGCUUUGCAUUUCUGGAACGUCUUUUCAUCAUGCUCUACAUGAUUCAAUCACAUUGCUCACAUCUACAUGAGUAACCAGAAAAGCAAGUAUUUCAUCGGAUUCUACAUGAUUCGAUCACUUCGCUCACAGCUUUAUGAGUCUCUGGUGAUAUCGUGUUUAAUUAAAUAGAAUAUUUAUUAUAAGAAACAGAUUUAUCAAAUAUAAUUGAGUAUAUGCCUCAUCAUAUCAAAUAUUUUAAUUAGAUGUAACUAUCUAGGUGGUGGUUCAGUGGUAAAAGUUUGGGACCAAGAUGUUUGUUCCCUCUGUGGUCUCAGGUUCGAGCCCUGUGGUUGCUCAUAUGAUGGUCAUUGGAGGCUUACAUGGUCGUUAACUUCAGGGCCCGUGGGAUUAGUCAAGGUGCACGCAAGCUGAUCCGGACAUCCAUGUUAAACUAAAAAAAUAUAUAUAUUUUAAUUAGAUGCGUGUGUACAAGUAUUUUAAUUUAUGAUUAAGAAUUUUUUUAUAUCAAAAAAAAAUUAAAAAGUCUGUAUAUUUAUUUUUCCUUGUUAAAACAAUUAUCUGAAAUAGCCAGUAAUCAACUAACUAUGAAAGAUAAGAUUGAGAAUUGAGAAGUUUAUUUGUCAGCAGACAGUAGCUUCAGUAGAUGGAAAAAGACUCUCUAGAUCACCGGAUCAAUUCCCACCUUCAUGAACUAUUUUUUAUUAGUACAGAAAGCUUCAUAUCAGUCAAAACUCUCUCUCUCUCUCUCUCUCUCUCUCUCUCUCUCUAAAUGGAUCAGAGACUACACAAAUAUAGAGGUGGAGCUUCACAUUAAGCUUCAGAUCAAUUUUCUAUUUUAAAAUCUCAUAAGUUUGGUCCAUUGAUUGCCCUAGAUUGCCCUAGAUUUUCCUGUGUUUUAUAUCCUUUUCUUUUGACAUUUUUUUUAAUCUUUUUCCAGGCCAAAAUCCUAAUUUAAUGUUUGAAAUUGAGAUGAUAAUUAUUUAACUAGAAAAUAUAUUAAAAUAAUAUUUUUUAUUUUUAAAAAUUUAUUUUAAUCAUCACCACAUUAAAACAAUCUAAAAUUAUAUAAAAAAAUUAAAAUAAUAAGAUUUAAAAAUAUUUUUUAAACACAAAAACAAACACAAUCAUCACUCAUAUAUCAUGAGAUUUGCAUUUAGACAUUAAAAUUCAAGAAGAAAUUAAGUUCACCGUACUAUUAAUUCAGUCGAUGAAGGAUUAGUCCCAACUACUUUAGGCCACCAUUAAUUACUUUAUUUAAAUGUAUACUUCUUUAUUAAUUCAGUCGAUGAAGGAUUAGUCCCAACUACUUUGGGCAUUUUAACUCCAUCUUCAAUUACUUUAUUUAAAGGUAUCCUUCUUUCUUAGAUAUUGAAUUUUGAAAACACAAUCAUGCUAAAGAUUUGUCAACGAAUUGUUUUUUAAAAUAAAAAAAUAUUUUAAAAAAUAAUUAAUACCAUACUACCGAGCAAAUGAAGUUAUGUGGAGGGUUCCGCACCAUUUAAAGGUUGUAAAGAAAGGUUUAAAACACAAUGACGAUAAAGAUUUGCUAUCGAAUAUAAUAUGAAAUAAUAAUACCCAAUUGCAUCAGCGGACAUGUGAUCAACAAUAUUAAAAUUCUGUAAAUUUUGAUUUAAUUCAAUUAUUGGAAUUCCAGGCAGCGUGGCAAUGUCAGAAAAUCUUGGACGAUGGUGACUAAAUGUUUGUAAAUGGAGACGGCACGUUCGCGGAAGGUAAUAGUCGAUGGUGCCAAAAAUUAAAUCAGCUCUCAACUCGUUACAAAUAGCUGCCAUGGCCUUUCAUUCUACAUUAUUUUUUCUUUUUUCACAUUCAUGGAAUCCUCUUUGCCUUCCACCCAAAUCUUGGAUUCUGGUGAAAGUGCUGAGAGGAAAAAUGAAGCUAAAAAUUACAAUGAAGUCAUGUCCACCCUUCCAAAAGUAAAAGGCUUGAAUGGGUGUGAUUAUUACCUGUACCAAUGCUUUUGGUACGAUCCCUCCUUCUUGGAAGGAAUCAUGUCUGUUCAAGAGCGCUUCAAUCCUCAAUCCACUGAUAUAUUUCUCGCCAGUUUUCCAAAAACUGGCACAACUUGGCUUAAGGCCCUCACUUUUGCUAUUUGUACACGAUCCCGUUUAAGUGGUUCAACAACUAGUUCUUUACUUUCCAAGAUGCCACAUGACUGUGUUCCUUUUAUGGAAUAUGACCUUGCUCAGAACCCAAGUAAUCGGGACUUGGCAAUUCCUCUGGUAUCUACUCAUGUUCCUUACACUUGUUUACCUAAAUCUAUCAUUUCUUCUUGUUGCAAGAUUAUUUACAUUUGCAGGGACGCAAAGGAUGUUUUUGUUUCUUUGUGGUACUUUCUUGCCAGGCUGCAAAUGUCUGAAAAUGUUGAGCCUCUUCUUCUGGAAGAGGCUUUUGAGUUGUUUUGCAAUGGAAUUGCAAAUUUUGGACCCUACUGGAACCAUGUUUUAGGGUACUGGAGAGCAAGCUUGGAGUUCCCCGAGAAGAUACUGUUCUUGACAUAUGAGGAAAUGAAGAAAGACACCGCUGCUCAUGUUAAGAAAUUAGCUGAGUUCAUGGGUUGUUCUUUCACCCUAGAGGAAGAGGAGGAAGGGGAGGUGCAAAAGAUAAUAGGCAUGUGUAGUUUUGAGAAGUUGAGCAACUUGGAGGUGAAUAAAAAUGGGAAGUGCCUUCUAGACAUAUCAAUUCCUAUUCCAAAUAGUAUAUACUUCAGGAAAGGUGAGAUAGGCGACUGGGCAAAUCACUUGACACCUGAAAUGGGAGCACGUCUAGAUGACAUAAUGGAGCGGAAGCUCAAGGGUUCAGGCUUGAAGCUGCCCAGGUGACUGCGCCUGGGUCCCAUUUGCUUCUGAUUAUUGCCGAAGUGGGUUCAUCAAAAGCUGUUAUCAACAUCUCGUGAAACAGCAACUGUGUAUCCCAAUAAAUACCCUCUCUGUUCAUCUCUUGUAUUUCCUAGCAAGUAUUCACAUUUUGUGAAUAAUCCAUGUGAAUAAGCAAUGUUCUUUUGUGAAUCUGUGUUUGUAACUUUCAUUGAUUUCCUUGCAAGUUUGUAAGAAUUAAAAAUGGGAUUCGUUUUUUAUUUAUUUAUUUAACACAAGUGCAUGCAUUCCAUUAAUCAGUGAUAAAAAAAAAAAAAUUACUCUACUAUAUAAUAUUAGAGUGUUUUCUUCACAGAAAUUGCAGUGUGUUUUCUUCCCACUGCAAUACAUGUUUUAAAAGAACCGAGACAACCAUACAUGAGGGCGGAGCAAAUACCAACCGAGACAACCAUCCAUUAAGAUUGUUGAAUUGAAGAUCAAAUGAACAUAGGCGGCACAUCUGCUGAAAGGAUCUCGAAAUGCCUUGUAAUUGGUUAAAAUAAAGAUCAAGAUCUGUAGGAGAACUCGUGUUUUCCACUCCUAAAAUAAGCCCAGUUGCCGGCUUCAUGUGCAACAGAGGCACAUAGAGAAUCUGAAAGCAGUUUUUAUGCACUAUCAGCAGAAUAAUUUGAUCAGUCAGAAUGAUCCCCCCCCCACUAGGCUCAGAUCACAAUUCUUCUUACUUCAAACAAAUCUUUUGGAACCGAUAUGUGGAGGGAUGGCUUGAUUUAUACCGGAGAUUUUGUUGGAAAAUUAAAGAAGCAUGGCUUAAUUUGUACCUUGGAUGCGCAAAUUGAUUACAGGGAAAAAAAUGACAGAAAGUGAGUUGCAGGGAAUGAAAAAGGCAUUAGUAAACUCAACAGCUUGCAGGGCAUCGUUCCUUGGUUUACUCCGUUUUAUUUCUUAUUUUGUUUUUCCUGCCAUUGUCUUAUGUUUGUCUAACUCGCAGUCUGGUCUCUGCAGAGAAUGAGAAAGCACAGACUCUUUAAGAGAAGAUAUUCUCCGGCAAUGGCAUCAAACAGAAAAGUCCGACGUUAACUAAAUGAGUUCAUGGGUCUCUUGUCUGAAUAUAGAAGUGCAGAAACUAAGCUUGACCAAAAACCCCCAUGCUACCAACUACAACUCAACAAGCAACAAAUCAAAUGAAUUGUGAUCCGCCAGUAAACAGCGAAUGGACACUGCCCCAGCAAUAGAUCAUACAAGCUCUGACCAACCGGUCAAAGAUCACGAGGACCCUACCCACUGCCCACUGACUGACAAUUCAUCAAAUAGAUUUAUUGCCGUUCACCACCUUAUUUAGAUGUAUUUUUAAAUAAUAUCCGUGAACUCAAAAAAAAAUCACUCAAAUAUCUCCCUAGAAAACUGACCUUGAACUCUUAACUAGGAGAAAAACAAAGAGGAAAAAUAGAGCUUAUAACAUAGGAAACUACGCUGAAAACUGAGGUGAAAAAAAGUGUAAGAAAUUCUGUAAAAAUGUCCAGAAACACUUUUUAUCACUUUUUACAGAGGAUUUUGAAACCUAAACCAAUGUAGAUUUACUUUUAGUAAUUAUUAAAAAUUAAUUUUUAUCAUUAUCAAUCUUAAUUAUCCGUUAUAAAUUAAAAUUAACCUUAACCCUUUUAGCUUUAAAUAUAAUGCUUUGUUAGAAUUAUAAAAACCAUUCAAAUUGAAAAAAAUUGCUUAGGCUGAAAAAAGUGUUCAGACUCUAUAUUCAUUGACAGUACAAACUGAUGGAUUAGAAAGAAAAAAAAUAUAUAGGCCAAAAAAUUAUAAAUCCAAACCCAAGUUUAAAAUAUAUUGAUAAAAAUUAAUUAUUUAUAGUUUACAAUAAAAUCAGACUUGGGACAAGCAAGCCAAUUAAGCAUGGGACUUCAACUCAAAGUUUACUUUACUUAGGUUUUUUUUUUUAAUCUGAGUGUAUUUUAAUCCAAUUUUAAUUCUUUAUAUUUUUAAUAUAUAAUUAACAAUAAAAAUGUUGUUUUUUUUACGUGAAAUAAAGGUUUUGAAUUUCACAAAGAUAUAUUCAUCAACAAAAUUAAAUUUUUAUUUAUUUAUAAUUUAUUUUAAUUAUUUUAAUAUUUUAUGUUAAAGAGAUUUGGUUGGAGAAUAAGUUUCAAUAAAAUUUAAAUCCGAAAAAUAAGUAGAUUUUAUUUUUAAUUUUAUUUCAAAUAUAUUUAUUUUUUAUGUUUUAAAACAAAUUUUAUCUCAUCUAUGUAUGUAUAAAUAUAUAAUCACAAUUCUCAAUACAGCACUUAUAGUUAGUUAUCGAACGAAAGAAUGUUAUCUCUUUCAGUAUGCCACAGAUAUUCAAAACACGGCGGUCACCCUUAUUAGCUUGCAGUCGUCUAUCGAAGUAUUAUCGCCAAAUCCACAGAAGCAAGGCAAACCACAGUUUUCUCUAGUUAUAGGACUAGACGGUACUGCGCUAGACUGCAGGUUUACAAUAUUUUUUCGAUAAAAUAUUUAAAUCAUGAGAAAAUCAUGCAUGAUUAAAAGAGUAAAAUUCAAAUUAAAAAUAUCAAUACAUGACAAAAUAAAAUUAAAAAAAAUUAAAUAAAAUUUUUAUAAAAAAACUAGAAUAAAAGAGAGGACUGAAACCGAAAAAGUUUAAACAAAAAGGACAUACCUGCAAUUUGAGGGGGGGAGGGAGGAGGAGAAAAAAAAAGGUUCAUCAACAACGAACUGCUCGACCUUCACCUACAUGUAUCGCACCAUGAGAAAGAGGAAGCAGUGAUGCUUCCAACAACACAAUAAAAUGUUUAUUUUUACAACUAGAGGUAUUGCAUGCUAUACUUGAAGUGCUAGCUUUUUAAAUUUUAAUAUUAUUUAUUUUUUUGUUAAAAGAUUACAAUGCGCAAACUAAAAAGAAAAACAAUAUAAAAAGAUAAAGUAUAACCUUGACCUAAAGCUUUUCUUUUUCUUUUUACUUCAAGGAUAUUUAAGUAAGUUUAGUGUACAUUCAAAAGCAUUUAAUGAAAUACCCUUCGACCAAGGUUUUUUUUUUUUUUAAAGUAUAAGACACUUAACAAAAUAAUAAAUAACAAAAAUUAAAAACUUAAAAAGACAAAAAAUACCCUUCGACCAAGGUUUUUUUUUUUUACUCCAAAGCAUUUAAUGAAUCUCGCCCAUAACGACAGCAAGUCUUUAAAAAGUGGAUUUCCUGAUGAAACCUGGAUAGUAUCAGUGCCAGCUCGAGCUCAGAAUGCGGCAUCUAUUGAUUAACUUACCAGUUACCAACACAAGGAGACACACACAACAACUUUAAAAAGGGCAUUAUAUAGCUAAACAUUGAUUAUUAUUUUUAUUUCAUUUUUAAUAUUAUAUUAAUUUUAAAUAUAUAUAUUUUUAAUUUCUCCAUUCAAUAACAAGUUGAAAUUCAUAAUUUUAUUUAAUUCAUUUCUUAUAAUAAUUUUUUUCCCAUCGUUUAAUUAAAUAAAAUAUUUAUUAUAAAAAAUAAAAUUAUUAAACAUAAUUGAGUAUAUGGCUUGUAUUUUUAGGUUAAAUAUUGUAAUUAGAUGUGGGUAUAAGCAUUUUAAUUUAUAAUUAAAAAGAAAAACUAUAUCCAAAAAAGAAUUUAAAAAACCUGUAUAUUUAUUUUUCAAUUAUCUAACCUGCAGCAGUGAAGUGCAAUUGAAAUAGCUAGUAAUCUAACUAAAAAAUUUAAGAUAAGAUUAAGAAAUGAGAAGUUUAUUUGUCAGCAGACAGUAGCUUCAGUAAAUAGAAAAUAUAGACUGUACUGCUGCUGAUCCCGGGAUCAAUGCCCACCUUCAUGGAUUAUAUAUAUAUAUAUAUAUAUAUAUAUAUUCAAUGUGAGAUAUUAAGUCAUUUAGUACAUACUAGUUAGAUGACUUGUGCGGUGCUGCGAGUUAAUUUUUUUUGCAUAAAAAUAUAUAAAAAAACUAAAAUCUAAAAGUAUUAGGUCUUUUUGCAAAGUUAUACCCAAGAAUCUUGGGUUUGGCUGCAACGCCUGACCCAAGAGUAAUAUUUAUAAUAUUAAUUAUAACAUUAAACUUGCAUGACUCAAGUUUAAAUGAGUCUAGAUGCAAUACCAUACCCAAUAGUCUUGGAUGUGGGUCUGGCUGCAAGGUCGUGUAAUAAAAGUGUGAUAAUUAAAUAGAUUAAUUAAAAAUAAAAAAAACAAAGAAAAAAACAAACAUGAAGAAAAAAACUAAUGAAGAAAAAGAAAAAAAAUUUGAAUUAACUGGGUUAACCCUUCAAACCAGGUUAAUCCGUCAAACCUUGGAUUCGUGUCGUGAAAGUUUGAUAACUAAAUAAAAAAAAAAUGAACAUUAACAAACUAAAUUAAAUGAAAAAAAUAAUUAAAAAAAAAAGCAUCAGCCUUUUCACUGUGGACUGCACUGUGCAGUCCACAGUCAAAUGCAUAAAAACAACAAAAAAGCAAAAAGAAAAACUAAAGGCAUCAAUCGAUAACUAAAUAGAAAAAAAAUUUAAUAUUGAUGAACUAAAUUAAAUAAAAAAAAUUAAAUAAAAAGAAGAAAAAACUUAUAAGAAGAAAAAAACUAAUGAAGAAAAAGAAAAAAAAUCUAAAUUAACUGGGUUAACCCGUCAAACCUGAGAUCCGUGUCAUGAAAGUCUGACAACUAAAUAAAAAAAAUUUAAUAUCAAUAAACUAAAUAAAAAAAUUAAUUUAAAAAAAAGGCAUCAGCCUUUUCACCGUGGAUUGCACUGUGCAGUCCAUAGUGAAAGGCAUGAAAAUAAAAAAAACAAAAAAAAACUAAAGGCAUCAGCCUUUUCACUGUGGACUGCAUAGAAUAUUAAAAGAUGAAAUCGGAAGAACAAAACUAAUGAGGAAAAAGAAAAAAAAAAUCUGAAUCAACUAGGUUAAUCCGUCAAAUCAAGUUAACCCGUCAAACUUGAAAGUGUGAUAACUAAAUAGAAAAAAGAUUUAAUAUUAAUGAAAUAAAUUAAAAAAAGAUUAAUUAAAAAGGAAAAAAGCAAAGAGAAAAAAGACCAACAGGAAGAAAAAAACCUAAUGAAGAAAAAGGAAAAAAAUCUGAAUUAAGUGGGUUAACUGGUCAAACCUGGGAUUCGUGUCAUGAAAAUCUGAUAAUUAAACAGAAAAAAUUUAAUAUUAAGAAACUAAAUUAAAAAAAGACUAAUUAAAAAAAGACAAAAAAAAACUAAAGGCAUCAGCUUUUUCACUCUUAAAAAGGAAAAGAGAGAAAAAUAAAAACAAAAGCAAACGCCACGGGUUAAUUUUUUUUUUCUUGCAUAAAAAAUAUUAAAAAAAACUAAGAUCUAAGAGUAUUAGGUCUUUCUGCAAAGAUAUGCCCAAGAGCCUUUGGUUUAGUUGCAACGCUUGACCCAAGAGUAAUAUUUAUAAUAAUAAUAAUAAUAAUAAACUUACAUGACUCAAGUUUAAGUGAGUCUGGCUGCAAGGUCGUGUCAUAAAAGUGUGAUGAUUAAAUAUAUUAAUUAAAAAGAAAAAAACCAACAUGAAGAAAAAAACUAAUGAAGAAAAAGAAAAAAAUAUGAAUUAACUGGAUUAACCCUUCAAACCAGGUUAACCCGUCAAACCUGAGAUUCAUGUUAUGAAAGUUUGAUAACUAAAUAGAAAACAAAAUUGACGGGUUAACCUGUCAAGCCUGGGAUACGUGUCAUGAAAGUCUGAUAAUUAAAUAGAAAGAAAUUUAACAUUAACAAAAUAAACUAAACGAAAAAAAAUUAAUUUAAAAGAAAAAAAGUAAAAAAAAAAUUCUAGGUUAACUCAUCAAACCAAAUUAACCCAUCAAAUCCGGGAUCCGUGUCAUGAAAGUCUGAUAACUAAAUAAAAAAAAUAACAUUAACAAACUAAAUUAAACAAAAAAAAUUCAUAAAAGAAAAAAAAACACAGAAAAAAAACAAAAAAAACAUAAAGGCAAAAAAAACAAAAACAAAAUUAAGUGAGAAUUACUGAUGUGCUUUGCCAAGCUUUGCAACAGAAAUCUCAAGACAUUUUAAAUGCUAUGCAUUUGCUGACUACCAUAAAGACUUUAAUUCAGAAGUUAAGAGAUGAUGGAUUGGAAACUCUUUUAGAACAAGUGACAUCAUUUUGUAAGCAUAAAAACAUUGAAGUUCCUGAUAUGGAUGCUUGUUUUUCUAGUGUGGGACGAUCUCGCUGUAAAACAAAAUCAAUAACAGUUGAGCAUCACUAUCGAGUUGAUAUAUUUAUAGCUAUCAUUGAUCAAUAGUUGCAAGAGCUAAAUAAUAGAUUCUAUGAGCAGGCGAUCGAGCUUCUUAAGUUGAGCAUAGCUUUAGAUCCUAAAAAUAACUAUAAAUUAUUCAGUGUUGAAGAUAUAUGCUAACUUGUUGACAAGUUCUAUCCUGAAGACUUUUCUGACCAAGAAAAAACUCAUUUGAGAUUUCAGUUGCAGCAUUAUGAGCUUGAUGUACCCAAUCAUCCAAAGUUAAAGAAUAUGUCAUCGAUUGCUGAUUUAUGUCAAGGACUGGUUGAAAUAGAAAAAUCAACAAUUUAUCUACUCAUUGAUAAGUUGAUUCGACUUAUUUUGACUCUUCCUGUUUCGACAGCAACUACUGCACGAGCUUUUUCAGCGAUGAAGAUUGUUAAAACAAGACUUCGCAAUCGGAUGGAGGAUGAUUUUCUUGCAAAUUAUUUGAUUGUCUAUAUAGAAAAAGAAAUUGCUGAAAGAUUCACAAUUGAUAUGAUAAUCGAUGAUUUCUACUCCAUGAAAGAAAGACAAAAACAAUUAAAAUAAAUAUGUAAGAAUCAUUCUUUAUUACUUUUUAUUUUAUUUAAAAGUUUUAUCAAACAUAAAUAAUGUAUCGCUUUAGCUAAUGUUUCUUAUAUAUUUUGUAUGUUUAUAUUUGAUAGGUACAAAAACCAACAAAAUUAAAGUGAUGAAUACAUUAUGAAGAUGAAAUUAACUUCAUAGCUUUGACUUAAUUUGAUAUUUGCUUUAAACAUCUUAUCUUAUACAAAAAUCAUAAUAUGUUUGUAAUUACUUUUUUGAAUAAAACUAAAUCAUGUCGUUUUUGUUUUUGUUUUUAUUUUUAUUUUUAUGUAAAGUAAAUUUUUAAAUAAAUUAUAUCUUUUAUUAUUUUAACCCCCAUUCAAAUAAUCCCAGCCCCUGACCGCAAUAACAAUCAAAAUAAAAUCUAAUUCUACCGGCUGCUAAGAAUACUAAAAUAGUGUAAAUUUUGACUUAAUUCAAUUAUUAGAAUUCGGGGCAGAUAACAGUGUUGAAGAAAAUGUCAGAAAAGUAGGGUAAACAGUACAAAUACCUUGGAUGAUGGUGACUAACGCCGUUUGUUUACGCGGGCGCGGGUGCGGUUGCCUUUUAAUUAAUAAAUAUCGGUAGUUGGAGACUUCUUGUUCUCGAAAAGAAAUAGUUAAUAGUGCCAAUAAUUAAUCUGCUCUCAACUUGCUACAAGCUGUCAUUACUCAUUACCAAAAUAUUAAAGAAACAAAUAUUUCCUAUUAGUAGAAAAGCGAUCUAAUAAAGCGAUUGUUCAGUUGACGUUAUUGAAUUGCUUUUUUAUAAAAAGUUAAUUUUUAAAUAUUUAUAGAUUAUUUUAUAUAUAAAUUUAAAAAAAAUCUUAAAAAAUUUAAAAAUAUAUUUUAAUAUAAUUAAAAAAAACAUUUGAAAAACAAUUAAUAGUAUAGUCUCAGGUCUCAACCACCCAAAAUAUACAUUUGAAAAACAUUUUAUAUACCUUGGAUUAAAUUGUGUUGUAGGUUCCACACCAUUUAAAGCUUGCAAAGAAGGAUUUAAAACACAAUCACGCUAAAGAUUUGCAAUCCAAUAUAAUAUGAAAUAAAACCCCAUUGCAUCACCGGACAUGUGAUCAAUAAUAUUAAAAUACUGUAAAUUUUGAUUUAAUUCAAUUAUUAGAGCUUGAGGCAGCGUGACAAUGUGAAAGAAAAUGUCAGAAAAUCUUGGAUGAUGGUGACCAUAUCAGUAAUUUGAGACAGCAAGUUCUCGAAAGGUAAUAGUUGAUGGUACCAAAAAUUAAACCAGCUCUCAACUCGCUACAAAUAGCUGCCAUGGCCUUUCGUUCUACAUUAUAUUUCUUUUUUUACUUUCAUGGAAUCCUCUUUGCCUUCCACCCCAAUCUUGGAUUCUGGUGAAAGUGCAGAGAGGAAAAAUGAAGCAAAAAAUUACAAUGAAGUAAUGUACACCCUUCCAAAAGUUAAAGGCUUGAGGGGGAAUGAUUAUUACCUGUACCAAGGCUUUUGGUACUCUUCCUUCUUCUUGGAAGGACUCAUGUCUGUUCAAGAGCACUUCAAUCCUCAAUCCACUGAUAUAUUUCUCACCAGUUCUCCAAAAACUGGCACAACUUGGCUUAAGGCCCUCGCUUUUGCUAUUCUUACACGAUCCCGUUUAAGUGGUUCAACAACUAGUUCUUUACUUACCAAGAUGCCACAUGACUGUGUUCCUUUUUUGGAAUAUCACCUUGCUCAAAACCCAAGUAAUCGGGACUUGGCAAUUCCCCUGCUAUCUACUCAUGUUCCUUACAGUUGUUUACCUAAAUCUAUCAUUUCUUCUAGUUGCAAGAUUAUUUACAUUUGCAGGGACGCAAAGGAUGCUUUUGUUUCUUUGUGGUGCUUUUUUCCGCGCAUCAAAUGUCGAAAAAUGUUGAACCUCUUCCUCUGGAAGAGGCCUUUGAGAUGUUUUGCAACGGAAUUUCAGUCUUGGGACCAUAUUGGGACCAUGUUUUAGGGUAUUGGAGAGCAAGAUUUGAGUUCCCUGAGAAGAUAUUGUUCUUGACAUACGAGGAAAUGAAGAUAGACACCGCUGCUCAUGUUAAGAAACUAGCUGAGUUCAUGGGUUGUUCUUUCACCUUCGAGGAAGAGGAGGAAGGGGAGGUGCAAAAGAUAAUAAGCAUGUGUAGUUUUGAGAAGUUGAGCAACUUUGAGGUGAAUAAAAAUGGGAAGCACCGUCCCGUCCGGACACAUCAAUUGCUAUUCAAAAUAGUUUAUACUUUAGGAAAGGUGAGAUAGGCGACUGGGCAAAUCACUUGACACCUGAGAUGGGAGCGCGUCUAGAUGACAUAAUGGAGCGGAAGCUCAAGGGUUCAGGCUUGAAGCUGCCCAGGUGACCGUGCCUGGGGUCCCAUUUGCAUAUGAUUAUUGCCGAAGUGGGUUCAUCAAAAGGUGUUAUCAGGAUGUCGUGAAACAGCAACUGUGUAUCCCAAUAAAUACCCUCUCUGUUCAUAGCAAGUAUUCACAUUUUGUGAAUCUUCCAUGUCAAUAAGCAAUAUUCUUUUGUGAAUCUGUGUUUGUGACUUUCAUUGAUUUCCUUGCAUGUUUGUAAGAAUUCAAAAUGGGAUUCGUUUUUUUUUUUUAUUUAACACAAGUGCAUGCAUUCCAUUCAUCAGUUUGAUAAAAAAUAAAUUUACUCUAAUAUAUAAUAUUAGAGUGUUUUCUUCACAGAAAUUGCAGUGUGUUUUUCUUCACAGCUAUACAUGUUUGAAAAGAACCGAGACAACCAUACAUGAGGGUGGAGCAAAGACCAACCGAGACAACCAUCCAUUAAGAUUGUUGAAUUGCAGAUCAAAUGAACGUAGGCGGCACAUCUACUGAAAGGAUCUCGAAAUGCCUUGUAAUUGGUUAAAAUAAAAGAUCAAGAUCUGUAGGAGAACUCGUGUUUUCCACUCCUAAAAUAAGCCCAGUUGCCGGCUUCAUUUGCAACAGAGACACAUAAAGAAUCUGAAAGCAGUUCUUAUGCACUAUCAGCAAAAUAAUUUGACCAGUCAGAAUGAUUUUUUUCCCCCUUACUAGGCUCAGAUCACAAUCCUUCUUACUUCAAACAAAUCUUUUGGAACCGAUAUGUCGAGGGAUGGCUUGAUUUAUACCGGAGAUUUUGAUGGAAACUUAAAGAAGCGUGGCUUAAUUAUACCUUGGAUGCGCAAAUUGAUUACAGGGAAAAAAUGACAGAAAGUGAGUUGCAGGGAAUGAAAAAGGCAUUUGUAAACUCAACACCUUUCAGGGCAUCGUUCCUUGGUUUACUCCCUUUUAUUUCUUAUUUUGUUUUUCCUGCCAUUGUCUAAGUUUUUCUAACUCGCAGUCUGGUCUCUGCAGAGAAUGAGACAGCAAAAACGCUUUAAGAGAAGAUAUUCUCCGGCAACGGCAUCAAACAGAAAAGUCUGACAUCAACUAAGUGCGUGUUUGACACUCCGGUUAUGUUUACAUAAAAAACAUCGUUGUCAUGUGUUUGGUUACAGUCUAAACAUAAUUUUCUGUUUGUGAGACCCGUUAUCAUUUGCUUUUAAACCGCAAGAUAACCAAAAGCAACUUCAAGCUGCCUUUUGUGUUGAGUUGCAAACUUUAUAAACAAAGGCCACAAGAAAAAGAGCAGAAACAUAGCAGUGAAUAGUAAACAGUGGAGAGUAGCUCCCUCUCACCACCGGCAUCCACCGUUUCCACCGCCAGCCACUGCUCUUCCUCUUCCCCUUCUCCUUCUCCUUUAUCUUCUGCAUUGUCCACUGUUCACGUUGCAUGUGAACAGUGGAGAGCAGCUCACCACCGGCCUCCGCUGUUUCCACCGCCAGCCACUACUCUUCCUCUUUCCCUUCCCCUUCUUCUUCUUCUUCUACAUUUUCCACUGUUCACAUGAACAGUGGAGAGCAUCUCCACUAUUCAUGGCCGGAUUGGGUCUGACCCAAACCUAAAUGCAUUGGACUGGGUCCGACCAAGUAAAAUAAAAAAAUCUAAAAACAUUUCUUAGAUAUUGUGUUUUAUUUGAAAAACUAGUGUUUAAAAUUAUUCAAUGACACUAUAUAAUUAUAUUAGAAGGAGAUCGCAUGAUGACAUAGCAUUUGCAGAAUUUGAUUGCAAUCCCAAUUUUGUUCCUAAUGAUAUUUUACCUGAUGUGAUGAUAUUUUACCUGAUGUUGGUAUACGUUCAAGAAGCCAUGAAAACUGUAGUUCUUGUCGGAUGGAUUUCGUACGUGAUUGAAUUGCAAAUAGUUUAAUAAAACAAUAAAAAAUACUUUAUAUAAAGUAUUGUUUAUUUCAUGAUUUAAUAGCAGUAGUUAAAUCUAUAAUAUUUCAAUUAAAAACCAUCAAUAUUAAUAUAUGUUUUUUUUAAUUAUUUUAUAACCUUAAUUUGAAAAAUAUUCUUUAAACCAAACACAUUAAACUACUUUUUGUUCAACCUCAAUUUCAACCACAAUUUUAACCAAAUAUAUAUUUUUUCAAACCAAUCUCAACUAAAAGUAAUUUUUAUAAAACAACUUUUUCAAACUAUAACCACAACAGCUACCACAAUACCAAAUACACAUAAAAAAAACUGUAAUGAUAAGCAAGUUAAAGUGCCACCAUUGAUUUAGGAUCUGCUUUAGAUCUUAUAAGGUGAAAGUAAAACACAAGGAAAUGCAUGCAUGCACACCACUAAUCUUUGAUUCUGGCGAGAACAGUGAUGACUACACUCAGAACCAUAUAGAAUUACAUUCCAAGAUGAAGAAAUUAAUAACAGAGCAGUGCUAUAAAGCUAAAUGUGAGAACCAAAGAUUAAUAAGCAAUGCUGAAAAUUUUAUCAUGCAUAAGAUGAGAGAAGCACAGGACAGAUUUUAUCAAAUCUAUAGUUUUUCUUCAAUAAUAAUAAUAUUUUUUAAAAAUUUAAUAAUAAUAAAAAAAAAAAACUCAUGUUCCUUGGCUCUUUCUCUUGCCAAACUGAAGCUACCAUAGUCAAAUCCAAGUAACUUAGAUGUCACGCUCUUGCUAAACCCAAGUUAUUUGGGUAUGACAUCUCAUGCUGGACUCAUAGCAUUCCAGAUCAAAGGUGUUGAUAUCUAACAAUAAUACCUCACCCGAGCCCUAAGAUGUGAUUGCUUUUCUAGACCCGAGGGCCAAGGCACCAAGACACUAUUCACUAUAAGUCAAGUCAAUGAAUCAAUCAAUCGAUUUUAAAGAUCAAGUUUUUUUUUUAAUAGAGAAACAAAACUUUUAUUAACAUUGAAAUAACUCUUAAAAUCUUAAUAAAAUUAAUUUGAAGUAAAAAUAAUAUUAAAAGAAAUAUUCAGAAGCACUUUUUGAUUGUAAAAUCAAACACACUAAAAUCAUGUAGAUUUUCAUUUAGACAUUAAAAUUCAAGAAGAAAUUAAGUUCACAGUACUAUUAAUUCAAUCGAUGAAGGAUUAGACCCAACUACUUUAGGGCCACCAUUGACAUUGAUUACUUUGAAUAAUUUUAAUUUAUAGGCAUAAAAAAUUAAUACAUAUCUUUAAGAGGAUCAAUUUUAGAUUAUCUCUCUCUCUCUCUCUCUAUUUUUUUUUUGGUUUUCAAAUAUUUGACAUUUUCGUUUAGAUAAGCUCUAGUGUGUGUUUUUUUAAGAUUAUUUUAAAUCAUGUUUCUUGAAAUGUCAAAAACAUUUCAUGGAUUAAUUUAACUUAAUAACGCCAAAGAAUUAGGAAUUAAAACUGACAAUUUCCACCAUGUAAGAGUACCUAAUUGAAAAUUUACUUUCUUAUCAUUUACCUCAAUUAAGCGGAAGCAUGAUCAUGAGAAGGGAUUUGGAGAAAGAAUUAUAAACAGAGAAUAAGAGAAAAUGUAAUGUGUAUAGAUUUUCUUAAUGAAUUAAUUAUGAUACAACAGAAGCUCAUAUAUAUAUAUAUAUACAUUCUAAACUAAUCAGUUAUGAAAUGUUAUUACAAAUAUAAUUUGAAUUUCAAUUUUAAAAUCAUGAUUAGUGCAGGUUUAUCAAUGCAGCAGAAUAUCCAUCAUAAACAAGAAGUUCACAGUUACAAAGUUUGAAUCUUUGUAACUGUAACUCUCUUUUGAAACUCUCUUCUUGGUCUUCAAUAUCCGUUAGCUAGCUGGAGAUGUAACAGUUACAAAGUUUGAAUCUUUGUAACUGUAACUCUCUUCUUGGUCUUCAAUGUCUGUCAGUUACAAAGUUUGAAUCUUUGUAACUGUAACUCUCUUAUGCUUAACAUUCCCCUGCAAACUGAUGGGGAUAGGAAUCACCAUCAAUUUGGACCGUAAAAACAUAAACCUUGCUGUAGUAUGACCUUUGGUGAAGACAUCUGCAAUCUGGUCAUAUGUUGAAAUAUAUCGUACAAGAAUAUCCUUAUUAAGAACUUUUUCACGGAUGAAGUGAUAAUCCACCUCUAUGUGCUUCGUUCGGGCAUGAAAAACAGGAUUAGAGGCAAGAGAUAUUGCACCUACAUUAUCACACCAUAGUGUAGGAGGUGACGACAAUGAAAUGCCAAGAUCUUGCAAUAACAUUCGAAGCCAAUAUAGUUCAGCAGUGACAAGAGCCAUGGAUCGAUAUUCGGCCUCAGUACUGGAUUUAGACACAACACUUUGUUUCUUUGCACUCCAGGAUAUGAGAUUUUGGCCUAGAAACACAAUAUAACCACUUGUAGAUUUUCUAUCAUCAGGAUUCCCAGCCCAAUCUGCAUCACAGAAAGCAUCUAAUGUUGUUGUCGAUUGAGUGUAGUGAAUACCAUAAUCAAUUGUUCCUUUCAAGUAACGAAGAACUCUUUUGGUAGCAAUCCAGUGUGGUUCUCGUGGAGCAUGCAUGAAUUGGCAUAAUUGGUUCACUGCAUAGCUGAUGUCAGGUCUUGUUAAAGUGCAAUAUUGAAGAGCACCAAUAACUUGAUGAUAUUCAGUUGGAUCAUUCAAUAUCCGUUAGCUAGCUGGAGAUGUAACAGUUACAAAGUUUGAAUCUUUGUAACUGUAACUCUCUUAUGCUUAACAUUUGGGAGGCACUUAGAUUAGGCUCUUCUCUAGUCUUGAGAAGCAAAACCAAUAGAGACGUGAUUGCGCACUCCCUGAGCUAUAUAGUAAGUGGCUGCAAACAAAUUGUCAGCACCAAUUCAGGUCCGGAAAAUUAAAGCAUUGAAGCAUAAAAGGUGACCUAACCUAAUUAAGCAAAUUACUACUUAUUCCAGCAUCACCUAGGAGUGAGACAGCCAGCCCAUCCAGUGUCUACAUGGUAAGGGAAUAAUUCCUUCAAGAAUGCAGAGAAAAUUAUACUUGCAAUACAACUAUAAACGAGAUGGUACAGUGCGGAAGGCAAGAUGUUAAAUCAAUUGAUCUUAUUAUAAUACUGUGAAAUAUGAUCAGGACAAAAAAAUAAAUAAAGAAAGAAAGAGUUGUUUAUUUUACAAUGAUCGAUAUGAUGCUUCUUUGCAUGUGGAAUCUUCGUCAAAGACUUGUUGAAAAUGCCAAAUUGUGAUCCACUUUUGGCUGUGUCAAAUGCAUGGGUGGGGCUUCACACAGAGCUAUUACCCCUUGUGUAAACUCAACGCCAGUUUUCAUGAGUUCUUUGGGAUUCUAACAUAGUAAAAAAAAGAAAGAUAAAAUAACAAAGUGUAAAGAAUAUUUAGUGAAAUAGAUAUUCGUGAUUAAUCAGUAGCAAUUAUUAUAUGCUGGCUCUCUCGGGUUUACUUGACAGAAGAUUUAUUAAAAAGAGUUGAUAAAGGAGAAAGAAAAGAAAAGAAAAUCUUCAAGGUAUAUCAAAACUCUGAUAAUAAUAUUAUUGGUAUUGUUAAAAAAAUCUCGACAAGACAAAUCGAAAAAUAACAAUGAAGGUCAUCAAUGACGAUAAAAAUAAGUCAUACGAGUGGCCCAAGAUAAGUGAGUUUUAAUACUUUUGAACAGCUUGUAUGAUUCAUUUUAUUCACUAUUUAUAAUCUUUUUUGAUGCUGUUAAAUUCAUCUUGUAAUGAUGUUGAUAAUGUUAUCAUUAUAAUUUCAAUGUAUUUUUAUUUUUAUUAUUAUUUUUUGUUUUGCUCUCUCUCCUCUCUCAUUGUAAUUUAUGAAGAGUAAGAGAGGGGGAAAAAAAAAACCCUAGUCUUCCAAUUUAAUCUGGCUGAAUACUACUAUCUCAAUCUUAUUCACUACUUUGUCAAAGCAAAGUAGAUUUUUCCUUAAAUAAGAUCUAAUCCACCGGCGGAUAGGUGAUCAAGAAUAUUAAAUUAGUGUAAAACUUGAUUUAAUUCAACAUUAUAAUUAGAGGUGCUAUAAUAAUGUGAAAAAAAGAAUAAAAAAACUAGAUGAUGGCGACCACAUAUCAAUAAUUCCAGACAUCACGUGGAGCACUUUCAUCAUCAUUAUUAUUAUUGGUAUAAUAAUGUUUGUUGUAUUAUUUUUUAAUUGUUAAGUUGUUUACUAUAUGUUAAAAUUUCAAGAUCUUCAAAGAUUGGGAAGAUCGGAUCUAAAGUUACUAUGGGACUGUCUUUAUUUUCCUAUUUGGAUUUUUUUAUUUAUAUUAAGAAUUUAAAUUUAAUUAGUAUUUUAUUAUUUAAAAAUUUUAAUGGUAAAUUGAUUCUAUUAGUUAGGUAAAUUUUAAAUAUAAAUUAUUUUUCUAUACAAAAUUUUAAAUCUAGAACUAAUAUAAAUAAAAAUAUUUAGUUUAUUUUUGUUCGAGGAUUCAUAUUAUUAUUUAAAUUUUUUUAUAAAUAUUUAGAGAUUUUUUCUAAUUUCCUAUGGUGUUAGGGAUUAUAACCUUAAGGUUUGGUUUGAAAUAAUGAUGACAGUUAUUUCUUAAAGUGUUUUUCACUUGAAAAUACAUUAAAAUAAUAUUUUUUUUAUUUUUUAAAUUUUUUUUUGAUAUCAGCAUAUCAAAACAAUUCAAAAACACCAAAAACUUAAUUUGAAAAAAAAUCAAAAUUUAUAAAAACCCCGGUUAAAAUGUUUUACCAAACACUUCUUAGUUUUUAAUAUUAAUACAUCAAAACAAUCCAAAAAUAUUAAUUUAAAAUUUUUAAAAACUCCGGUUGCGUUUGUAAGAUGUGUUGCGGCUCUCAACUUGCUACAAUGGCCUUUCUUUAAUAUUUUAUUUACACCAUUCAUGGAACCCUCUUUGCCUUCCACACAAAUCCCGGAUUUUGGUGAAACUGCUAAGAGGAAAAAUGAAGAGCUUUCCAAAGGCCAUGCUAAAACUACAAAGAAGUGAUCUCUACCUUUCCAGAAGUUAAAGGCUUUUGGGACGUUCCGCUCUUCUUGGGAAGACUCAUGUCAGUUCAAGAACACUACAAGCCUCAAUCCACUGAUAUAUUUGUCGCCAGCUUUCCAAAAACGAAGGAAAUCUUUGGUUAAUGUUCUCUGAAUCUCUCCUUUUCUCCUUCAAGAGUGAAAUUUAUGUGCCUUUCGUACCUUUUUACGUUAGAACAUUUCAUUUGUUCUUGUUUUCUAAAUUGAGUCUUUUCUAUGCGUUUUAUUAUUUUAUUUAUUGGGUAUUUGAGAGUGUAGUAAUAGUUAUAAUUUAAAGUGUUUUUAUUCAAAAAUAUAUUAAAAUAAUAUAUAUUUUUAAUUUUUUAAUAUUCAUCUUUUGACAACAUCACUCCAAAACAUUAGAAAACAUAAAAAAAAAAAAAACAAUUAGAAAACAAUUAGAAAACGCAAGAUUGCAUCAAUGCUAAAUGCAAUAUAUAUAUAUAGGUGCGCGCGCGCGCGUGUGUGAGAGAGAGAGAGAUCCACCUGUGUGUGAAAUGCAUAGUGAUGUUCCACAGCGAGCCAUUAUCUAUUAUGUAAAAUCUCUGAGAAAUGUCAUAGAUCAAUUGGUCGAUAUAGCAAAUUGAUAGGUUAAAGCUGCUCAUAAUCAAUACCUCUAAAAGAUUAUCUUUGGUGGAGAUGAAAACUUUUUGAUAUGUAAAUAAGUAUUUAAAAAAAAAUUAAAUAUUCUAUAAAGAGAUGUUCUGAAAAUACAAAUGCAGUAGAGAAUUGGAGAUUGUGAAUCUUUAUUAUGAAGGUCUCAUGAUAUAUUUAUAGCUCGAAUCUUGUCAUUUUGUGAAAAUAAGAGUUUGCAGUGUAAUUAACCUGAUAACAUUUAAUGAGGAAUAAAUAUCAUUUACAUGAUGGGAAUAUGGUGGGUCCUCGAAGGAGUUUUAUACACCUUAAAAGGUAUCAGAAAAUUAGAGUUUAAGAUAUCAAGUGUAGCUGAGCUUAUAGAGAUCAAGUUCUUUCUUGAGAUUAAAUCCAAGGGAGGUUUGUCAUUCCCCUGGACAUGCCAAGGAAGAAUGGUUAUUAUCUUGGACUUGGUUGGUUGCCAAAUCCAAGCAUCUUGGGCAUGACAUGCGUGCCAGAUCCACACUACCUUGAAGUUGGAGCACUACUAAGUCCAAGCGCCUCGGGUCUGACAUGCAUGCCAGACUUAUACUACGCUGGACUUGGUGCAUUACUAAGUCCAAAUGCCUUGGGUCUGAUAUGCCUGUUAGACCUAUAUUAUCUUGGGCUUGACGCAUUACUAUAUUCAAGCACCUUGAACUUAAUUAAUUGUCAAGUCCAUGCAUCUUAGAUUUAGAUCUAACAUAUACACUAGACUCAUAUUACAUUGAAUCUAGCGCAUUACAAAGUUAUAAUGCCUUGAAUUAAGUAUAUGUGCCACAUCCAUACAUUUUAAAAAACCAAACGAAAACUAAAUAAAAAGUUGACUCAUCGCUAAUCUAUAAAUACUAUCUACAUAAUGGCCUUAGUUGAUAUCUUCUACCGCUUACUACAUUUACUUGAAUAAUGAAAAUGUUUUUUUUUUUUAAUGGAAAAGAGAUUUUAACUCCAUCUUCAAUUACUAUAUAAAUGUUUCCUUGGGUUUUGAAAACGCAAUCAUGCUAAAAAUUUAUUAUCUAAUAUAAAAUAAAAUGUAUUUGUUUUUAUAUUUUAAAAAUGUUUUUUUUUUAAUUUUUUAAUUUUCAUCUUGUUUUGAUGUGUUAAUAUUAAUAAUAAAUUUUAAAAAUAAAAAAAAUAUUAUUUUAAUAUAUUUUUUAAAUUAAAAAUAUUUUAAAAAAUAACUAUUACAACAUUAACGAAUAAGAUUUAAUAUAAAAAACAUUCUAAUUGCAUCAGCUGAGAGGUGAUCAACAAUACCGCAUUCCCGAACUUCACAUCCCUAUAUUAAUGGAUUGUGUUGUGGGCUCCACGCCAUUUAAAGCUUGUAAGAGAAACCACACCUCUAAAUAGAAACCACACGAUCACGCUAAAAGAUUUGCUAUCGAAUAUAAUAUGAAAUAAAACCCAAUUGCAUCAGCGGACAUGUGAUCAAUAAUAUUAAAAUAAGGUAAUAGUUGAUGGGCCACAAAUUAAACCAGCUCUCAACUCGCUACAAAUAGCUGCCAUGGCCUUUCAUUCUACGUUAUAUUUUCAUUUUUUACAUUCAUGGAAUCCUCUUUGCCUUCCACCCAAAUCUCGGAUUCUGGUGACAGUGCAGAGAGGAAAAAUGAAGCUAAAAAUUACAAUGAAGUGAUGUCCACCUUUCCGAAAGUUAAAGGCUUGAAUGGGUAUGAUUAUUACCUGUACCAAGGCUUUUGGUACGCUCCCUUCUUCUUGGAAGGACUCUUGUCUGUUCAAGAGCGCUUCAAUCCUCAAUCCACUGAUAUAUUUGUCGCCAGUUGUCCAAAAACUGGCACAACUUGGCUUAAGGCCCUCACUUUUGCUAUUUUCACACGAUCCCGUUUAAGUGGUUCAACAACUAGUUCUUUACUUACCAAGAUGCCACAUGACUGUGUUCCUUUUUUGGAAUAUCACCUUGCUCAAAACCCCAGUAAUCGGGACUUGGCAAUUCCUCUGGUAUCUACUCAUGUUCCUUGCACUUGUUUACCUAAAUCUAUCAUUUCUUCUUGUUGCAAGAUUAUUUACAUUUCCAGGGACGCAAAGGAUGCUUUUGUUUCUUUGUGGUACUUUCUUGCCAGGCUGCAAAUGUCGAAAAAUGUUGAACCUCUUCCUCUGGAAGAGGCAUUUGAGUUGUUUUGCAAUGGAAUUGCAAAUUUUGGACCAUAUUGGGACCAUGUUUUAGGGUAUUGGAGAGCAAGCUUCGAGUUCCCUGAUAUUGUUCUUGACAUACGAGGAAAUGAAGAAAGACACCGCUGCUCAUGUUAAGAAACUAGCUGAGUUCAUGGGUUGUUCUUUCUGUUGCAUUAAACUCAAUCUAGAAGGUUAAGGAAGGCAACCACCACUUGCAGCCACUAGCUGUCACCGCCUAGCCGCCAGCCGUCUUCAUACUUGAAAGUUGAAUUAUCUUGUUUUUGAAUUCUGUGUAUAAAUAGAUAGCUAAGUGGAUGUUAUUCUGUGUGGAAAGAGAAGAAAGAAACACUAGAGAGAAAGAGAGAGGGAGUGUGUAGCUUUUGUUUAAUUAUUGUAAGCUUUUAUUGUUGAAAUAAAACAGUGUGUUUUAUCUCUUCUGAGUGUUUCAAAGCCACCACCAGUGGUUUCUCCCACCAACAAUUGGUAUCAGAGCCUCGUUCGUCACAAAACACAAGUAUUUUGGGAGAUACACGAAUUUUCAAAGUUGUCAAAAACAAUUUUUGAUCAUUCCACAAUGUAGAGCUCAUCCAUACGAACUCACUGGUGCAAAAAUCAGCUUCAUCGGAGCCCGAGGUGAUCCCCACGCGCCUCCUGAAAUUCCGGUAACUGUAGCCCAGUCUCACCCACGCGCUCCAGAGGUUGAAGACGCCAGAGGUUGAAGACGAGUGUCGUCCACGCGCGCCAUAUUCGAGCCGAUCCCCAGCCGAGCCGAUCUUUAGCCUCAGCCGAGCCGAUAGAAUAUUCCCCAGAAUAUUCCCGGUUCAACCCCAGCGAACCGCCUAACGUCCAGAAUCGGUUUUCAGACCGGUUCAGCCUAUUUCUGACCCAUUUUCAUCCAAGUCAGGCCGGUUCCCUACUGUUUUGAGCAUUCUGGAUCCAUCUACGGUGUCUGUUUUGCCAAAUUCAACUCCCAGAAGGUGAUAUAGUCAUUCAAAAAGCAAAAUGACUACAGAAAAUGCACAAACACUCAUCCCGAAGCUGACCAAAGACAACUAUGAUAGUUGGUGUAUCAGAUUGAAGGCAUUUCUUGGUUUACAAGAGUGUAUAGAGAUUGUGCAAUAUGGUUAUGAUGAACCAGAGUCUAAAGAAGUAGAAGAUACUUUAAAUGAGGCAGAAAAGCAAGUCCUCAAAGCAAAUAGAAAGAAAGACAACAAAGCAAAGACCAUAAUCUAUCAAGGUCUUGACGAAGCUAUAUUCGAAAUUAUUGCUUCCGCAGAAACAUCAAAAGAGAUAUGGGAGGCUCUCCAACAAAAAUACAAAGGUGCUGACAGAAUCAAGAAGAUUCGUCUCCAAUCUUUGCGAGGUGAGUUUGAAUUAUUGCAAAUGAAGGCCUUAGAAUCUAUUUUUGACUAUCACACAAGAAUUAUGGUGAUAGUCAAUCAGAUGAGAAGAAAUGGAGAAGCCCUCACAGAUGCUCGGAUUACAGAGAAAAUUUUGAGAUCCCUAUAUCCAAAAUUUUAUUUUGUUGUUGUCGUUAUUGAAGAGUCCAAAGAAGUGGACAAGUUGAUGGUGGAUGAGCUUAUGAGUUCUUUGCAAGCUCAUGAGCAAAAGAUCGUGAAAAGAAAUGGAGAUAAGGCAAUUGAGCAUGCCUUACAAGCAAAGUUGUCUCUCAAAGACAGAUAUGAGCAAGGGGAGACUUCAAUAAGUGGAUAUACCACUCAAGGAAGAAGUCCACAAAGACGAGGAGGAUUUCAGCAAUUCCAAGGAAGAGGAUCUUGGAAUACAGGUUUUAGAGGAAGAGGUGGCAGAUAUACCACUAGAGGAGGCCGAGGACAACAAUCAUUCACUCCUAAAGGAAGAGGAGGCGGUUACAAUAACCGUGACAAGAGGAAUAUCCAGUGUUAUAAGUGCAAUCAAUUUGGGCACUAUAGCAUUGAAUGUCAAAGGAAAGCUCCAUUAGAGGUACGUGAGCAUGCAAACUAUGCAGAGGAGGAUGCCAACAGCAGAGGAGCAGCUGCAUUAUUUGUCCAACAAGGACUUGACAAGAAUCAAGAGAAUAUUUGGUAUCUUGAUUCUGGAGCCAGCAAUCACAUGUGUGGCCAACGAGAUCUAUUUGGCGAUCUAGAUGAGACCAUACAAGGUCUAGUCACCUUUGGAGAUACAUCAAAAGUUCCAUUCAAAGGUAAAGGCAACAUCCCAAUCAAGUUGAAGAAUGGCGAUCAUAGCUACAUCGCCAAUGUCUACUAUGUCCCAGCCAUAAAGCAAAACUUGGUGAGCAUAGGUCAACUUCUAAAGAAAGGUUAUACACUUUUCAUGAAGAAUUGUCAUCUGACAGUUACAGACUACAAUGGGAGAUUAAUUGCCUAUGUGAAAAUGUCCAAGAAUAGGAUGUUUCCUUUAAACAUCCAAUAUGAUGCAGCAAAGUAUUUGAGUGCCAUCACCAACAGUGAAGAGUGGCUUUGGCACCUGAGGCUUGGACAUCUGAAUUUCACAAGUCUGAAGAUGCUAGCAAGCAAGAAGAUGGUCAAAGGUAUGCCCCACAUUGAUCAUCCAGAUGAAGUCUGUGAGAGUUGUGUCCUCAGCAAACAUCACAGAUCCAAUUUUGCCAAAGAAGUCAACUGGAAAGCAAACAAGCCACUGGAGUUAGUGCACACAGAUGUGUGUGGUCCCAUAAAGCCUAUGUCGACUGGACCAAAUAGGUACUUCCUUACUUUCAUUGAUGAUUUUAGCAGAAAGACGUGGAUAUACUUUCUGAAGAGGAAGUUAGAAGUGUUCAAUUGUUUUAAAGAUUUUAAAGCAAUUGUUGAGAAGCAAAGUGGCUAUAAGAUCAGAACCGUGAGAUCUGAUCAAGGUGGAGAAUAUACAGCAAAUGACUUUGAAGCCUUUUGUACACAACAAGGCAUCAAACAUCAGACAACACCAGCUUAUACACCACAGCUGAAUGGUGUAGCUGAAAGAAAGAAUCGAACGAUUCUUGACAUGGCGAGAAGUCUACUCAAAGCAAAGAAGCUGCCCAAACAAUACUAGGCUGAAGCUGUAUCAUGUGCAGUGUAUCUACUGAAUCGCUGCCCAACCAAAAGUUUGCAAGCUGUCACUCCACAAGAAGCAUGGAGUGGUCACAAACCAAGUGUUACUCAUCUUCGAGUCUUUGGUUGUGUGGCAUAUGCAAAGAUCCCAGAUGCAAGAAGGACCAAACUCGAUGAUAAAAGCGAGAAAUGCAUCUUUGUCGGAUAUGGUGAGAGAAAGAUGGGAUACAAGCUGUAUAAUCUCAUCACAAAGAAGGUAAUUAUGAGUAGAGAUGUUAUCUUUGAAGAAGAUAAAACAUGGCAAUGGAAGGAUGACCAAGAAGCAGUCAAAUGGAUCAGCACUGAUUUGAUCCUUGAAGAUGAAGUGGAAGUACCACCAGUACUUGCAGAAGGUCUGAUAUUACCGGCAGAUGAGCCACAAAGUUCGGUACACAGAUUCCCUGUAUUCAACAGGAGAAACACACCAGAAUCAUCAUCAGCAUCCUCAUCAGAAGGACCAAGAAGGAUGAGAAAUCUAGACGAGUUGUACGAUGUCAUGCAAGUCAUGGAAGAUACAACUCUAUUUUGUUUCUUUACAGAUACUGACCCACUUAGCUUCAAUGAAGUUAUCAAAGAAGAGAAGUGGAUAUAAGCAAUGGAUGAAGAAAUACAUGCUAUUGAGAAGAAUGACACCUGGAAGCUGACUAAUCUACUAGAAAACAAGAAAGCAAUAGGUGCCAAAUGGGUCUAUAAGACAAAGAAGAAUGCAAAAGGAGAAGUGCAAAGAUACAAAGCAAGAUUAGUAGCAAAAGGCUACAAAUAAAGAGAAGGCAUUGACUAUGGAGAAGUAUUUGCUCCAGUAGCCCGGCUAGAGACAAUCAGACUGAUGAUCUCACUAGCUGCACAACAUAGAUGGAAGAUCUAUUAACUCGAUGUGAAGUCAGCAUUUCUGAAUGGCUUCCUAGAAGAAGAGAUCUAUGUUGAACAACCACUUGGAUACAUCGAAGCUGAAAAUGACGGCAAAGUAUACAAGUUGAAGAAAGCUCUCUACGGUUUGAAGCAAGUUCCGCGUGCUUGGAAUACCAGAAUUGACAGGUAUUUUCAAGAAAAUGAAUUUGAAAAAUGUCCAUAUGAACACGCAAUAUAUGUGAAGAAAGAAGCAGAUAACAACAUAUUAUUUGUGUGCCUAUAUGUUGAUGAUUUGCUAUUCACCGGCAACAACCCAACCAUGUUUGAAGCCUUCAAGAAAAGCAUGGUACAAGAGUUUGAGAUGACAGACAUUGGUCUGAUGGCACACUUUCUUGGCUUAGAAGUGGUGCAGAAAGAAGAAGGGAUUUUUGUAUCCCAAAGCAGUUAUGCCAAAGACAUUCUUGAAAGGUUCAAGAUGGAAAGCUGCAAUCCGGUAUCAACUCCAGUUGAGAAUGGAGUAGAAUUGAGGAAGAGUAAAGUUGGAAAUGUUGAUCCAACUUACUUCAAAAGCUUAGUAGGAAGCUUAAGGUACUUGACAUGUACCAGACCGGAUAUACUCUACGGAGUUGGUCUUAUCAGCAGAUACAUGGAGACACCAGACCAGUCUCACUUGAAUGCAGCCAAGAGAAUUCUUCGCUACAUCAAAGGAACAAUCAAUGAAGGUAUGUUUUAUACCUCAAGUACAAACUUCAAUCUUGUUGGCUACUCGGAUAGUGAUUGGGGUAGAGAUCUGGAUGAAAGGAAAAGCACAACAGGGUUUGUCUUUUUCAUGGGAAAUACAUUUUUCACAUGGUCAUCCAAGAAGCAAUCGAUAGUAACGUUAUCAAGCUGUGAAGCUGAGUAUGUUGCUGCCAACUCAGCUGUAUGCCAUUUAAUAUGGUUAAGAAAUAUGCUGAAGCAUUUGGGAUUUCCUCAAGAAGAUCCCACAGAGAUUUAUAUUGAUAAUCGAUCAGCGAUUGCAUUAGCAAAGAACCCGGUGUAUCAUGAACGAAGUAAACACAUUGAUACACGUCAACACUUUAUCCGAGAGCAUAUAAAGAACAAAGAAGUCGAGCUGAUAUCCUGCAAGACAAAUGAUCAAGUUGCAGAUAUCUUUACAAAGCCAUUGAAGGGAGAAACAUUUAUCAGACUGAAGUUCAUACUUGGCGUGACAUCCCUCGAUUAAGUUUAAAGGGGGGAUUUGUUGCAUUAAACUCAAUCUAGAAGGUCAAGGAAGGCAACCACCACUUGCAACCACCAGCUGUCACCGCCCAGCCACAAACCGCCCAGCCGCCAGCCACUAGCUGUAUGCCGCCAGCCUCCAGCCGCCUUCACACUUGAAGGUUGAAUUAUCUUGUUUUUGAAUUCGUGUAUAAAUAGGUAGCUAAGUGGAUGUUAUUCUGUGUGGAAAGAGAAGAAAGAAACACUAGAGAGAAAAGAGAGGGAGUGUGUAGCUUUUGUUUAAUUAUUGUAAGCUUUUAUUGUUGAAAUAAAACAGUGUGUUUUAUCCCCUCUGAGUGUUUCAAAGCCACCACCAGUGGUUUCUCCCACCAACACUUUCACCUUAGAGGAAGAGGAGGAAGGGGAGGUGCAAAAGAUAAUAAGCAUGUGUAGUUUUGAGAAGUUGAGCAACUUGGAGGUGAAUAAAAAUGGGAAGCACCGUCCGGACACAUCAAUUGCUAUUCAAAACAGUGUAUACUUCAGGAGAGGUGAGAUAGGCGACUGGGCAAAUCACUUGACACCUGAAAUGGGAGCACGUCUAGAUGACAUAAUGGAGCAGAAACUCAAGGGUUCAGGCUUGAAGCUGCCGAGGUGAAUGUGCCUAGGGUCCCAUUUGCUUGUGAUUAUUGCCGAAGCGGGUUCAUCAAAAGCUGUUAUCAACAUCUCGUGAAACAGCAACUGUGUAUCCCAAUAAAUACCCUCUCUGUUCAUCUCUUGUAUUUCCCAGCAAGUAUUCACAUUUUGUGAAUCAUCCAUGUCAAUAAGCAAUGUUCUUUGUGAAUCUGUGUUUUUGACUUUCAUUCAUUUCCUUGCAUGCUUGUAAGAAUUAAAAAUUGGAUUCGUUUUUUUUAUUUAUUUAUUUAACACAAGUUCAUGCAUUCCAUUAAUCAGUUCGAUAAAAAAUAAAUUUAGUCUAAUAUAUAAUAUUAGAGUGUUUUCUUCACAGAAAUUGCAGUGUGUUUUCUUCAGUUAUACAUGUUUUAAAAGAACCGAGACAACCAUCCAUUAAGAUUGUUGAAUUGCAGAUCAAAUGAACGUAGGCGGCACAUCUGCUGAAAGGAUCUCGAAAUGCCUUGUAAUUGGUUAAAAUAAAGAUCAAGAUCUGUAGGAGAACUCGUGUUUUCCACUCCUAAAAUAAGCCCAGUUGCCGGCUUCAUGUGCAACAGAGGCACAUAGAGAAUCUGAAAGCAGUUUUUAUGCACUGUCAGCAGAAUAAUUUGAUCAGUCAGAAUGAUUCCCCCCCUCUAGGGCUCAGAUCACAAUUCUUCCUUGAAACAAAUCUUUUGGAACCGAUAUGUGGAGGGAUGGCUUGAUUUAUACCGGAGAUUUUGUUGGAAAAUUAAAGAAGCAUGGCUUAAUUUGUACCUUGGAUGCGCAAAUUGAUUAGAGGGAAAAAAUGACAGAAAGUGAGUUACAGGGAAUGAAAAAGGCAUUAGUAAACUCAACACCUUUCAGGGCAUCGUUCCUUGGUUUACUCCGUUUUAUUUCUUAUUUUGUUUUUCCUGCCAUUGUCUAAUGUUUUUCGAACUCACAGUCUGGUCUCUGCAGAGAAUGAGAAAGCACAAAUUCUUUAAGAGAAGAUAUUCUCCGGCAAUGGCAUCAAACGGAAAAGUCCGACGUCAACUAAGUGUGUGUUUGGUGUUGCGGCCGUGUUUACAAAAAAACAUCGUUGUCAUGUGUUUGGUUACGGUCUAAACACAAUUUUCUAUUUGUGGGACCCAUUACUAUUUGCAUUUAAACUGCAAGAUAACCGGAAGCAACUUCAAGUUGCUUUUUAUGAUUAGUUGCAAACUAUGUUAUAAACAGAGGCCACAAGAAAAAGAGCAGAAAUAGAGCAGUGAAUAGUGAACAGUAGAGAGCAGCUGCCUCUCACCACCAACCUCCACCGUUUUCACUGCCAGCCACUGCUCUUCCUCUUCCCCUUCUCCCUUUCACGUGAACUGUGGAGAGUGGAGAGCAGCUCACCACCGACCUCCGCUGUUUCCAUCGCCAGCCACUGCUCUUCCUUUUCCCCUUCUCCUUUUCACGUGAAUAGUGGAGAGUGGAGAGCAGCUCACCACCGACCUCUGCUGUUUCCAUCGCCAGCCACUGCUCUUCCUCUUCCCCUUCUCCUUCAUCUUUUACGUUCUCCACUGUUAAUGUGAACAGUGGAAAGCAGCUCAUUACCGGCCUCUGCCAUUUUCACCGCCAGCCACUGCUCUUCCCCUUCCCCUUCCCCUUCGUCUUCUGCAUUCUCCACUGUUCACGUUGCAUGUGAACAGUGGAGAGUAGCUCACCACCGGCCUCCAUUGUUUCCACCGCCAGCCAUUGCUCUUCCUCUUCCCCUUCUCCUUCUCCUUCAUCUUCUGUAUUCUCCACUGUUCACGUGAACAGUGGAGAGCGUCUCCACUGUUCAUGACCGGACCGAGUCAAACCCAAACCUAAAUGCAUUGGACCGGGUCCGACCCAAUAAAAUUAAAAAAAAUCCAAAAAAAUUUCUUAGAUAUUGUGUUUUAUUUGAAAAACUAGUGUUUAAAAUUAUUCAAUGGCACUACAUAAUUAUAUUAGGAGAUCGCAUGAUAACGUAACAUUUGCAUAAUUUGAUUGCAAUCCCAAUUUUGUUCCUAAUGAUAUUUUACCCAAUGUGAUGAUAUUUUACCUGAUGUUGGUGCACAUUCAGGAAGCCAUGAAAACUAUAGUUCUUGUCGGAUGGAUUUCGUACGUGAUUGAAUUGCAAAUAGUUUAAUAAAACAAUAAAAAAUACUUUAUAUAAAGUAUUGUUUAUUUCAUGAUUUAAUAGCAGUAGUUAAAUCUAUAAUAUUUCAAUUAAAAACCAUCAAUAUUAAUAUAUGUUUUUUUUAAUUAUUUUAUAACCUUAAUUUGAAAAAUAUUCUUUAAACCAAACACAUUAAACUACUUUUUGUUCAACCUCAAUUUCAACCACAAUUUUAACCAAAUAUAUAUUUUUUCAAACCAACCUCAACUAAAAGUAAUUUUUAUAAAAACAACUUUUUCAAACUAUAACCACAACAGCUACCACAAUUCCAAAUACACACAAAGAAAACUGUACUGAUAAGCAAGUUAAAGUGCCACCAUUGAUUUAGGAUCUGCUUUAGAUCUUAUAAGGUGAAAGUAAAACACAAGGAAAUGCAUGCAUGCACACCACUAAUCUUUGAUUCUGGCGAGAACAGUGAUGACAACCAUAUAGAAUUACAUUCCAAGAUGAAGAAAUUAAUAACAGAGCAGUGCUAUAAAGCUAAAUGUGAGAACCAGAGAUUAAUAAGCAAUGCUGAAAAUUUUAUCAUGCAUAAGAUGAGAGAAGCAUAGGACAGAUUUUUCCCUCAAAUGAUUAACUAGAAUACGAGUUGCACUUCAAUUUUAAAGCUGAAAGAUGAAACAAUCAUACAAGCUCACACCUCUAUAACAGAGUGACAGUUCAUGGUGACCUCAAAGACUGCAUCAAGUCCUCCAAGCUCUCGUAACUUUUCCUUAAAGUCCCCCCCCAGUCUUCCUUGCCAUGCCAGAUGUAUCUGAAUGAAUGCAACCCAUACAGUGAAAUAAAUAAGCAAUCAGAAAAGGAGAGAGAGAGCUGUGUGAAUAAAGAAUUGUCACAAAACUAGAUGAUGGCGACCACAUAUCAAUAAUUCGAGACAUGACGUGGGGCACUUUCAUCGUGAUUAUUGUCUGUACAAUAAUGUUUGAUGCAUUAUUUCUUGUUAAGACUUUUUAGGUUGUGAAAAGUCCAAGAUGUAGCUUUUGAUUUUAUCAUUUAUAUUAAAUUGAAAUUUUGACAUAAAAUUCUAAAGAUUUUGUGGUUAAAAUUUCAAGAUCUUCGAAGAAAGACCUUUAAAUAAGGAUUUAAAGUUAUUAUGAGAUGGUCUUUAUUUACCUAUUUAGAUUUUUUUAUUUAUAUUAAAAAUUUUAAUUCAAUUAGUAUUUUACUAUUUAAAAAUUCUAAUAAUAGAUUGAUUAUAUUAAUAAUACAAAUUAUUUUUCUAUACAAAAUUUUAUUUCUAGAAUUAAUAUAAAUAAAAAUAUUUAGUUUAUUUUUUUGUUCAGGAUUCAUAUUAUUAUUUAGAUUUUUUAUAAAUAUUUAGAGAUUUUUUUUAUUUUGCUACUGUGUUAGGACUAUAACUUUAAGGUUUGGGUGUUUGGGAAAGUUAUAGCGGUUACGUUUUAAAGUGAUUUUUAUUUAAAAAUACAUCAAAAUAAUAUAUAUUUUUUAUUUUUAAAAUUAAUUUUUGACAUCAAAACAAUGCAAAAACACCAAAAAAUUAAUUUGAAAAAAAAUUAAAAUUUUUGAAAACCUUGAUUAAAAUGUUGUACCAAACACCCUCUUAGUUUUAUCUUAUUUUUAAAAAAAUAAUUCUUAACAUUAGCAAUCAAAACAAUCUAAAAACAAAAAAAUAAUUUUAAAAAAAUCAAAAUCUUUAAAAACUCCCGUCUAAAUGUUUCCUUUUAGUUUUAUCAUUGUUGCACUGCGUAAUGAUGCUCAAAAGGAAAUAGUUGAUAUAGCCGUACUUGGGGUAUUUAAGAAUGUGAUAGCGGUUACUUUUUAAAAUGUUUUUCGUUUAGAAAUGUAUCAAAAUAAUAUUUUUUUAUUUUUAAAAAAUUAUUUUUGAUAUCACCAUAUCAAAAUGAUAUGAAAACACUAAAAAAAUAUUAAUUUAAAGUAAAAAAAAUAAAAAAAAUUAAUCUUUUAUUAAAAUAUUUUUGAAAUACAGAAAUACUACGAGCUCUCAACCUGCUACAAAUAACUGCUGCAAUGGCCUUUCUUUAAUAUUUUACUUACACCAUUCUGCAAAAUAUUUUCUUUUGUACAUCCAUGGAACCCUCUUUGCCUUCUACACAAAUUCAAAGUCCAUGCUAAAAACUACAAAGAAAUGAUCUCUACCUUUCCAAAAGUUAAAGGCUUUUGGUACUUUCCGUCCUUCUUGGGAACACUCAUCUCAGUUCAAGCAAUCCACUGAUAUAUUUGUCGUCAGCUUCCAAAAACGAAGGAAAUCUUUGGUUAAGUUAAAACUCCUUUUCUCCUUCAACAGUGAAAUUCACGUGCCUUUCACACCUUUUUAAGUUCGAACAUUUCAUUUGUUCUUGUGCUCUAAAUUGAGUCUUUUUUGUGAGUUCUAUUAUUCUACUGUGUUUGGUUUAGCUUUUGUAGUUGAGGUUGUGGUAGGGUACAUGUACAAAACUCAACCACAAAAGCUAAUUUUUCUUGUUUUUUAUGGCUUUUUUAGUGGGUUCCACACUCAACCUCAACCUCCAUCUCAAAUACAAACACACACUAAAAGAUUAGAAAACGCAAGAUUGCAUCAAUGCUAAAAGCAAUUUCAAUCUCAAUGUGUGUGUCAAAUGCAUGGUGAUGUUUCAUGAUAUGUUUGUUUUGACGUUUCAAAAAUAUUUUUUUUAAACUGAAUUUUUUUAAUUUAUUUUUCGCUUCAAAUUAAUAUUUUUUGUUUUUUCAGAUUAUUUUGAUGUACUGUUGUUAAAAAUAAUUUUUUUUAAAUAAAAAAUAUUAUUUUAAUACAUUUCCGAGCAAAAAUCACUUUAAAAAAUAAUUGUUAUUACACUUCCAAACACAUCUUUAAAAGGACAAAGUUAUGGAGUUGAGGGCUCUAAAUAUUCCUCAAAAUAUCUGGCCUCAAAGCUAUUAUCGAGUCUUAAAGCUUUUGCUUUUUAUAUUGUUUUGAUGUAAAAAAUAAAUUUUAAAAAUAAAAAAAUAUUAUUUUAAUAUAUUUUUAAAUAAAAAAAUAUUUUAAAAAACAAUUACAGUAAAAUAACAAAUAAAAUAUUAAUAUGAAAUAAAAUCUAAUUCUACCAGCAGACAGCUGAUAAGAAUACUAAAAGAGUGUAAAUUUUGACUUAAUUCAAUAUUUCAAUUAUUAGAAUUUGGGGCAGCGUAACAGUGUCAAAGAAAAUGUCAGAAAAGUAAGGAAAACAGUACAAAUACCUUGGAUGAUGGUGACCAAAUAUUUGUAAUUUGAGACAUCUCGUUCUUGAAAAGAAUAGUUAAUAGUGCCAAUAAUAUUUUUUUUUAUUCACGUGACGGGUGAGCUUGUGUGUAUCUCGAUUAAUUCCCACGAAUCCUGAAAUUAAUGAUCAGGUAAGUUUCCAGUGGUCAUCAAUAUUAACAACCAUAUGGCUCGAACCUGAGACCACAAGGAGGAGCAAACCUCUUGAUCUCAAACUCUUACUAUUAGACUGCCUAUUAGAUGGUUAGUGCUAAUAAUUAAUCUGCUCUUGACUUGCUACAAAUAGCUGUCAUGAUCACAUAUUCAAAAAACACUAGUUUAUAAAUUCUAAGGGUAUCUCAACUAGUUAGACUUUAAGUAUGUUUUCCAAUAAUUAUGAGUUCGAGUCCUUUUAAGAUAAUUGAAGGUUUACACGGCGUUAACUUCAGGACCCAUAAAAUUAAUCGAGAUAUAUACAAGUUGAUUCAGAUAACCAUAUUAAUUUAAAAAAACAAACACUAGUCUAGAAAAGCAAUAUACAAGGUGAUUUUUUAGUUGACUAGUUGAAUCUGAUUUUUAUAAAAAGUAAUAUUUUAGAAGAUAAUUUUUAAUAAUUUUAGAUUUUUUAAUAUAUAAAUAUCAAAAAUAAAUUUUAAAAAAUAAAAAAAUAUUAUUUUAAUAUAAUUUUAAAUAAAAAAACAUUUGAAAAAACAAUUAAUAGUAUACUCUCAACUACCCCAAAAUAUAGGAUUAAAUUGGAUUGCGGGUUCCCCACCAUUUAAAGCUUGCAAAGAAGGAUUUGAAACACAAUCACCCUAAAGAUUUGCAAAUGGAAUAUAAUAUAAAAUAAUACCCAAUUGCAUCAGCGGACAUGUAAUCAAUAAUAUUAAAAUACGGUAAAUUUUGAUUUAAUUCAAUUAUUGGAUUCUAGGCAGCGUGACAAUGUCAGAAAAUCUUGGAUGAUGGUGACCAAACAUAUCAGUAAUUUGAGACAACACGUUCCCGAAAGGUAAUAGUUGAUGGUGCCAAAAUUUAAACCAGCUCUCAACUCGCUACAAAUAGCUGCCAUGGCCUUUCAUUCUACCAUAUAUUUAUUUUUUAACUUUCAUGGAAUCCUCUUUGCCUUCCUCCCAAAUCUUGGAUUCUGAUGGAAGUGCUGAGAGGAAAAAUGAAGCUACAAAUUGCAAUGAAGUGAUGUCCACCCUUCCAAAAGUCAAAGGCUUGAGGGGGGAUGAUUAUUACCUGUACCAAGGCUUUUGGUACGAUGCCUUCUUCUUGGAAGGACUCAUGUCUGUUCAAGAGCACUUCAAUCCUCAAUCCACUGAUAUAUUUGUCGCCAGUUUUCCAAAAACUGGCACAACUUGGCUUAAGGCCCUCACUUUUGCUAUUUUUACACGAUCCCGUUUAAGUGGUUCAACAACUAGUUCUUUACUUACCAAGAUGCCACAUGACUGUGUUCCUUUGUUGGAAAAUGACCUUGCUAAAAACCCCAGUAAUCGGGACUUGGCAAUUCCUCUGCUAUCUACUCAUGUUCCUUACAGUUGUUUACCUAAAUCUAUCAUUUCUUCUAGUUGCAAGAUUAUUUACAUUUGCAGGGACGCAAAGGAUGCUUUUGUUUCUUUGUGGUACUUUCAUGCCACGCUGCAAAGGUCGAAAAAUGUUGAGCAUCUUCCUCUGGAAGAGGCUUUUGAGCUGUUCUGCAAUGGAAUUGCAAAUUUUGGACCAUACUGGAACCAUGUUUUAGGGUAUUGGAGAGCAAGCUUGGAGUUCCCUGAGAAGAUAUUGUUCUUGACAUAGGAGGAAAUGAAGAAAGACACAGCUGCUCAUGUUAAGAAAGUAGCUGAGUUCAUGGGUUGUUCUUUCACCUUAGAGGAAGAGGAGGGAGGGGAGGUGCAAAAGAUAAAAAGCAUGUGUAGUUUUGAGAAGUUGAGCAACUUGGAGGUGAAUAAAAAUGGGAAGCACCGUCCGGACACAUCAAUUGCUAUUCAAAACAGUGUAUACUUCAGGAGAGGUGAGAUAGGCGACUGGGCAAAUCACUUGACACCUGAAAUGGGAGCACGUCUAGAUGACAUAAUGGAGCAGAAACUCAAGGGUUCAGGCUUGACGCUGCCCAGGUGACUGUGCCUGGGCCCCGUUUGCUUAUGAUUAUUGGCUCAGUGGGUUCAUCAAAAGCUGUUAUCAACAUCUCGUGAAACAGCAACUGUGUAUCCCAAUAAAUACCCUCUCUGUUCAUCUCUUGUAUUUCCUAGCAAGUAUUCACAUUUUGUGAAUCAUUCCAUGUCAAUAAGCAAUGUUCUUUUGUGAAUCUGUGUUUGUGACUUUCAUUGAUUUCCUUGCAUGCUUGUAAGAAUUCAAAAUGGGAUUCGUUUUUUUUAUUUAUUUAUUUAACACAAGUGCAUGCAUUCCAUUAAUCAGUUUGAUAAACAAAAAAUUACUCUAAUAUAUAAUAUUAGAGUGUUUUCUUCACAGAAAUUGCAGUGUGUUUUCUUCACAGUUAUACAUGUUUUAAAAGAACCGAGACAACCAUACAUGAGGGCGGAGCAAUGACCAACCGAGACAACCAUCCAUUAAGAUUGUUGAAAUGCAGAUCAAAUGAACGUAGGCGGCUCAUCUGCUGAGAGGAUCUCGAAAUGCCUUGUAAUUGGUUAAAAUAAAGAUCAAGAACUGUACGAGAACUCGUGUUUUCCACUCCUAAAAUAAGCCCAGUUGCCGGCUUCAUGUGCAACAGAGGCACAUAGAGAAUCUGAAAGCAGUUUUUAUGCACUAUCAGCAGAAGCUGAGAAUGAGAAAGCACAAACUCUUUAAGAGAAGAUAUUCUCCGGCAAUGGCAUCAAACAGAAAAGCCCGAUGUCAACUAAGUACGUGUUUGGCGUUGCUGCUACGUUUAUAGAAAAACACCGUUGUCAUGUGUUUGGUUACUGUCUAAAUACAAUUUUUUGUUUGUGGGAGCCAUUACCUUUUGCAUUUAAACCGCAAGAUAACCAGAAGCAACUUCAAGCUGCCUUUUGUGUUGAGUUGCAAACUGUGUUAUAAACAGAGGCCACAAGAAAAAGAGCAGAAACAGAGCAAUGAAUAGUGAACAGUGGAGAGCAGCUCGCUUUCACCACCGGCCUCCGCCGGCCACUGCUCUUCCUCUUCUCCUUCUCUUUCAUCUUCUGCAUUCUCCACUGUUCACAUGAACAGCGAAGAGUGGAGAGCAGCUCACCACCGACCCCUGCUAUUUCCACCGCCAGCCACUGCUCUUCCUCUUCCCCUUCUCCUUCGUCUUUUACGUUCUCCACUGUUAAUUUGAACAGUGAAGAGCAACUCACCACCGGUCUCCGCUGUUUCCACCGCUAGCCACUGCUUGUCCUCUUUCCCUUCUCCUUCUCCUUCAUCUUCUGCAUUCUCUACUGUUCAUGGCCGGACCGGGGCCGGACCGGGUCCGGCCCAAACCUAAAUGUAUUGGACUGGGUCUGACCUAGUAAAAUAAAAAAAAUCAAAAACAAUUUCUUAAAUUUGAAAAACUAGUGUUUAAAAUUAUUCAAUGACACUACAUAAUUAUAUUAGAAGGAGAUUGGAUGAUCACGUAGCAUGUGCAGAAUUUGAUUGCAAUCUCAAUUUUUUUUCCUAAUGAUAUUUUACCUGAUGUGAUGAUAUUUUAUCUGAUGUUGGUGCACGUUCAGAAAGCUAUGGAAACUGUAAUCCUUGUCGAAUGGAUUUCGUACAUGAUUGAAUUGCAAAUAGUUUAAUGGAACAAUAAAAAAUACUUUAUAUAAAGUAUUGUUUAUUCAUGAUGUAAAAACAGUAGUUAAAUCUAUAAUAUUUCAAUUAAAAACCAUCAAUAUUAAUAUAUGUCUUUUUUAGUUAUUUUAUAACCUCAAUUUGAAAAGCAUUCUUAACCAAACAUAUUAAAUUACUUUUUGUUCAACCUCAAUUUCAACUACAGUUUUAACCAAACAUAUAUUUUUCCAAACUAACCUCAACUAAAAAUGCUUUUUAUAAAACAACCUUUUUCAAACCACAACCACAACAACUACCACAAUACCAAACACACAUAAGUUCAAAUAGGAAUGAAUUUAUUAUCAGGGAUGAUGACUCAAUUUAGAAUAAGUAAAUCACAAGAAGACUUCGAUAUACAAAAGAAACUGUACUGAUAAGCAAGUUAAAGUGCCACCAUUGAUUUAGGAUCUGCUUUAGAUCUUAUAAGGUGAAAGUAAAACACAAGGAAAUGCAUGCAUGCACACCACUAAUCUUUGAUUCUGGCGAGAACAGUGAUGACAACCAUAUAGAAUUACAUUCCAAGAUGAAGAAAUUAAUAACAGAGCAGUGCUGUAAAGCUAAAUGUGAGAACCAGAGAUUAAUAUUAAGCAAUGCUGAAAAUUUUAUCAUGCAUAAGAUGAGAGAAGCACAGGACAGAUUUUUCCCACAAUUGAAUACGUGAAUUGAGCACAGAUUUCCCAGUUGCAAACUGUUCCUAAUUUCUCAAAUGAUUAUCUAGAAUACGAGCUGCACUUAAAUUUUAAAGCAACAUAUAAGCUCUUGAUUUUUUGUGAAUUGCUGAAAGAUGAAACAAACAUACAAGCUCACACCUCUACAACAGAGUGACAGUUCAUGGUGACCUCAAAGACAGCAUCAAGUCCUCCAAGCUCUCGUAACUUUUCCUUAAAAUAUAAAAACAAAACAAACAGGCUAGGAGCUCUCAACCCUGCUACAACUAACUGCUGCAAUGGUCUUUCUUUAAUAUUUUACUUACACCAUCCUGCACAAUAUUUUCUUUUGUACAUCCAUGGAACCCUCUUUGCCUUCUACACAAAUUCAAAGCCCAUGCUAAAAACUACAAAGAAAUGAUCUCUACCUUUUGGGAAGACUCAUCUCAGUUCAAGCAAUCCACUGAUAUAUUUGUCGUCAGCUUCCAAAAACGAAGGAAAUCUUUGGUUUAUGUUCUCUAAUAACUCCUUUUCUCCUUCAACAGUGAAAUUUACGUGCCUUUCACACCUUUUUACGUUCGAACAUUUCAUUUGUUCUUGUGCUCUAAAUUGAGUCUUUUUUGUGAGUUCCAUUAUUCUAUUUAAAAGAUUAGAAAACGCAAGAUUGCAUCAAUGCUAAAUGUAAUUUCAAUCUCAAUGUGUGUGUCAAAUGCAUGGCGAUGUUCCAUGAUGUGGUGUUUCAAAAAUAUUUUUUAAAAAAUUGAAUUUUUUUUUAUUUAUUUUUUUCUUUAAAUUAAUAUUUUUUUGGUUUUUUUGGAUUAUUUUGAUGUACUGUUAUCAAAAAUAAUUUUUUUUAAAUAAAAAAAUAUUAUUUUAGUACAUUUCCGAGAAAAAACACUUGGAAAAAUAAGUGCUACUACACUUCCAAACACACUCUUAAAAUGACAAAGUUAUAGAGUUGAGGGCUCUAAAUAUUCCUCAAAAUAUCCAGUUUUAAGGUCUCGGAGCUAUUAUCGAGUCUUAAAGUUUUUGUAUUUUAAAAAUACUUUUAAAAAUUGAUUUUUUUUAAUAUUUUUUACAAUAACAAAUAAAAUAUUAAUAUGAAAUAAAAUCUAACUCUACCAGCAGACAGCUGAUAAGAAUACUAAAAAAGUGUAAAUUUUGACUUAAUUCAAUUAUUAGAAUUUGGGGCAGCGUAACAGUGUCAAAGAAAAUGUCAGAAAAGUAGGGCAAACAGUACAAAUACCUUGGAUGAUGGUGACCAAAUAUUUGUAAUUUGAGACAUCUCGUUCUUGAAAAGAAAAGUUAAUAGUGUCAAUAAAUUUUUUUUUUUAUUUAUGGGAAGGUAUCGGGUCAGCUUGUAUGUACCUCGAUUAACCCUCACGGAUUCUGAAGUUAAAGACCAGAUAAGCCUCUAGUGAUCAUCAAUAUUAACAACCACAUGACUCGAACCUGAGAUCUCAGGGGAAGCAAACCUCUUGAUCUCAAAAUCUUACUAUUGAACCACCGACUAGAUGGUUAGUGCUAAUAAUUAAUCUGCUCUCAACUUGCUACAAAUAGCUGCCAUGAUUACAUAUUCAAGAAACACUAGUUUAUAAACCCUGAGGGUAACUCAACUAGUUAGACUUUGAGUAUGUUUCUCAAUAAUCAUGAGUUCGAGUUCUUUUAGGGAAACUGGAUGAUUACAUGGUCGUUAACUUCAGAACCCGUGAAAUUAAUCGAGGUACAUACAAGUUGGUUCAGAUACCCACAUUAAUUAAAAUAAAAAAAGAAACACUAGUCUAGAAAAGCCAUCUACAAGGUGAUUUUUUAGGUGACUAGUUGAAUUUUUUUAUAUAAAAAAUAAUAUUUUAGAAGAUAAUUUUUAAUAAUUUUAGAUUUUUUUAUGUAUAAAUAUCAAAAAUAAAUUUUAAAAAAUAACAACAUAUUAUUUUAAUAUAAUUUUAAAUAAAAAAACAUUUGAAAAAAAAAUUAAUAGUAUACUCUCAACCACCCCAAAAUAUAGGAUUAAAUUGGAUUGCGGGUUCCACACCAUUUAAAGCUUGCAAAAAAGGAUUUGAAACACAAAUCACACUAAAGAUUUGCAAUGGAAUAUAAUAUAAAAUAAUACCCAAUUGCAUCAGCGGACAUGUCAUCAAUAAUAUUAAAAUACGGUAAAUAAUAUGAAAUAAUACCCAAUUGCAUCAGCGGACAUGUAAUCAAUAAUAUUAAAAUACUGUAAAUUUUGAUUUAAUUCAAUUAUUGGAUUCUAGCCAGCGUGACAAUGUCAGAAAAUCUUGGAUGAUGGUGCCAAAUAUACCAGUAAUUUGAGACAACACGUUCCCGAAAGGUAAUAGUUGAUGGUGCCAAAAAGUAAACCAGCUCUCAACUCGCUACAAAUAGCUGCCAUGGCCUUUCAUUUUACCUUAUAUUUCUUUGUUAACUUUCAUGGAAUCCUCUUUGCCUUCCUCCCAAAUCUUGGAUUUUGAUGGAAGUGCUGAGAGGAAAAAUGAAGCUAAAAAUUACAAUGAAGUGAUGUCCACCCUUCCAAAAGUUAAAGGCUUGAGGGGGGAUGAUUAUUACCUGUACCAAGGCUUUUGGUACGCUCCCUUCUUCUUGGAAGGACUCAUGUCUGUUCAAGAGCACUUCAAUCCUCAAUCCACUGAUAUAUUUGUCGCCAGUUUUCCAAAAACUGGCACAACUUGGCUUAAGGCCCUCACUUUUGCUAUUUUUACACGAUCCCGUUUAAGUGGUUCAACAACUAGUUCUUUACUUACCAAGAUGCCACAUGACUGUGUUCCUUUUUUGAAAUAUAACCUUGCUCAAAAACCAAGUAAUCGGGACUUGGCAAUUCCUCUGCUAUCUACUCAUGUUCCUUACAGUUGUUUACCUAAAUCUAUCAUUUCUUCUAGUUGCAAGAUUAUUUACAUUUGCAGGGACGCAAAGGAUGCUUUUGUUUCUUUGUGGUACUUUCUUGCCACGCUGCAAAGGUCGAAAAAUGUUGAGCAUCUUCCUCUGGAAGAGGCUUUUGAGCUGUUCUGCAAUGGAAUUGCAAAUUUUGGACCAUACUGGAACCAUGUUUUAGGGUAUUGGAGAGCAAGCUUGGAGUUCCCCGAGAAGAUACUGUUCUUGACAUACGAGGAAAUGAAGAAAGACACCGCUGCUCAUGUUAAGAAAUUAGCUGAGUUCAUGGGUUGUUCUUUCACCUUAGAGGAAGAGGAGGGAGGGGAGGUGCAAAAGAUAAUAAGCAUGUGUAGUUUUGAGAAGUUGAGCAACUUGGAGGUGAAUAAAAAUGGGAAGUGCCUUCGAGACAUAUCAAUUGCUAUUCCAAAUAGUAUAUACUUCAGGAAAGGUGAGAUAGGCGACUGGGAAAAUCACUUGACACCUGAAAUGGGAGCACGUCUAGAUGACAUAAUGGAGCAGAAGCUCAAGGGUUCAGGCUUGAAGCUGCCCAGGUGACUGUGCCUGGGCCCCGUUUGCUUAUG